rnacentral:lncRNA from 1 species
AUAAAUACCUUCUUCUCCCCAUCAUCUCCCCCCAAACCCAUUCUUUCUCCUACCCCAUCUAUUUUAUUCUCAUCCCAUAAGAAUAUAUCACCUUCAUAAUGGCUUCUAAUUACACUUUUGCCUCUAGAUCUUCUGUUCCACUUUUACUCUUCUUCUUCCUCCUUGCCGUCAUUUUCGAACCCACCAUUGCUUCUUCAAGAAAACUCACGGCUUUAGUACAAGAACAGCCGCUCACAAUGAAAUACCAUAACGGUGCACUUUUAAAGGGCAACAUCACCGUUAAUCUCAUCUGGUACGGAAACUUCAGCCCAAUCCAACGCUCCAUAAUCAUCGACUACCUCCUGUCCCUCAACUCCCGCCUGGCCCCACUUCCCUCCGUCGCAUCAUGGUGGAAAACUACCGAGAAUUACCACGGAGGCUCAUCCACCCUCGUCCUAGGAAAGCAAAUCCUCGACGACAAAUACUCUCUCGGCAAGUCCCUCGAGACUUCUCAUAUUAUACUUCUGGCCUCAAAACUUGGUUACGUGCGCUCCGUGAACAUAGUCUUGACGGCUAAGGAUGUCGCCGUUGACGGGUUCUGCCGGAGCCGGUGUGGAACCCACGGGUCAAUCCGGGGGAAUACCCGGUUUGCGUACGCUUGGGUUGGGAACUCCGAGACCCAGUGUCCGGGUCAGUGUGCUUGGCCCUUCCACCAGCCCAUAUACGGCCCGCAGACCCCACCGUUAGUAGCACCCAACGGAGACGUUGGAGUUGACGGUAUGAUCAUCAACUUGGCCACUGUUUUGGCGGGAACCGUGACAAACCCUUUCAAUAACGGCUACUUCCAAGGGCCCGCAACGGCGCCGUUAGAGGCGGUAUCGGCCUGUACUGGGGUGUUCGGGUCGGGAGCGUACCCGGGUUAUCCGGGUAAUGUAAUGGUGGAUAAGAGCACGGGGGCGAGCUAUAAUGCGCAUGGGGCGCACGGGAGAAAGUACUUGCUUCCGGCGAUGUGGGACCCGAAAACAUCUGCCUGCUCCACACUGGUUUGAACCAUGGUUUGAGAGGAGAGAGAAAGUGAUGGCAUAUAUGUGUCCGUAGAUUCUUAUACAUACAUAGGGUAUUUUGGGAAGUAAUAUUGUAUUAGUACAUCCUCAAGUUUGUUGUUUUGUGUGAAGAAAUUUGUAAAUUGUGUUCCUUUGAUGAAAAUGUAAAGUGUAUUCAAUAAAUACUCAUGCUUUUUAUACUAAACAGUCUAAACCUUGGAUCAUAGAUGUAAGAAACGGAUAUGAAGUUCAUUUUAGGGUAAAAUAAUUAAUUGAUUAAUAUAGUAUUAAUAUAUAGAAAGAAAUUAUUUUUUGAUUUACGUGUUAAUAAUGUAUUGAUUAAAGUUAAUUUUAUGUUAAUCCCUUGGUGAAAAACAAUUCACCAGUAGCCCCGAUCGAGCAGAAGUCUCGAGGGGACGACGUCGCUGCAUUAGCACUAGUAUGAUCGGCCUGUUAGGAUACCAACUUUUGAAUUUUGUAUUUCCUUUAUACUAAUAAAAUCAAGUUUUUGGCCUUAUAUUACAACAGGUGACACUAAAGAAAGACUUGGCGUUCAAGUGGUAAGUUGUAACCAAUUGAAACAAUAGGAAAAUAAUCUAAAAUUUUUACAAACUUCAGUUGAGUCCUUAAAUAUUUAUUGGGUUUUGAAAAUUAUUUUUGUAUACAUAUAUCAUUAUAUAUAUAUAUAUAUAUAUAUAUAUAUAUAUAUAAUUGGGACUGCCGAUCAUGAUAAUCGAUAUUAUGUGCAUAUUAUAAUAUGUCAAUAAAAAAUUUGGAGAGAUAUAAUUUUUAUUCCUCCAAUCCUAUAUAUCUAUAUUCACUUUUCAUUAAUAUAACUUUUUAUUACAUUAACUAGAAUAUUAAGAUAGUAUAUUGUUGUGAUGGAGGAUUUAAUAAUAAUAAUAAUAGAAUUGAAUGGGAGAAUCGUUUGGUCCAUGAAAUGUGGGUUCCUUCCAAUAAAUUAGACCUAUUCUUCUAUAACUAGCAGACUAAGACAUUACUAUACCAUUAUUUUCUUUUCUGGCAGCAGGUUUCUGACUUUAAGAUGCAAAAUCAAACACUCUUCCGAUUAAAUUGCAUUUGGUUUCCCGUGUAUAGUGUGUGCGUGGAGUAGAUGGAGUGGGCUUUUCCUAUGAUCAUUGAGUGACCCCGCAAGACAAGAUAUAUUAGUGGAAUAUUAUUUCGUUCCUAUUGCUGUGUCCAGUGAUGAAACCUGCUAAGUAUUUCCAUUCUUGUUAGUAGCGCUAAGUAAGUAUAAUAUUUUCUAUCAUAAUCAAUCGUAUGAGAUGCAUAUUAAACUAUUUAAGACAUUUUAAAGAUAAAUUUGAGAUAAUUAAUACUCCAUCCGUCCCGAUAUAAAAGUCUUUAUUACUAUUUUGGAUAGUCCCAUGUUAAAUGCUCACUUCCCUUUAAUAACCAAAUUUUUACACAUUUUUUCCUAUUAUGCUCGUAGCAUUAAAUAUUUCUUACUUUUCUUAUUCUAAUUCUCUCUCCAUAUUUAAUGACAUUAUUAUAAAUAAUUUUGUCAUUUUAUUCCUCGUCUUUAUCCUGGGAGGGAGUAUUACCUAAUCUUACAACUUUUUUCCUACCCUUGUGAAUUUACAAAUAAAUACCUACAUAUUUAUGUAUAUAUAAUUUGAUCCAAGUGUAAAUUAAUUAGAGGCCAAGCUAGAGACAGCUCACAUCAUAAUAAUUAAGUAUGUGGAAUGGAUGAGUGCGGUGGUGCAGGAGUUAUGUGACAUUUAUAUAUAAUGGUCAUGGUCCCAAAUUAAAUGACAUGAGUCCAAUGUACAUUGUAUAAAUUAGAAUCAUAUACUUUUUAUUUUAUGGAGUAGGGUAGUGAACUAGAACUAAAAAGGGAUAGGUACUACUAGUAUUAUGGAGUAUUAUUUUGGAAAUCAUCCUCCUCCAUUAUUUGUAGUGUUCGUGUGGCUUGACAAGUGCAUGACAUAGUUUUUUGUUGACCAUUUAUUAAAUUCUUGGUACAUGGUGCUGAUAAACAUCCUCACCCAACCUUAUCAACCCCACAAAUGAUUGACAAUUUAAUUAAUAGUAUCCAACUAUUGUAUUAUAAAUCUAUAUAUACAUGCAUCUCUCCCUAUCUCAUACCUGUUUUUCCCUUGACCAAGAAUUGGUUCAACCACAUUAUAUAUAUAUAUAUAUAUAUAUGAAAAAAAUUAUAGUUACACACUUCUGUAAAUUUUAAAUAUACACAAUUUACGAUCGUAGAGUUAAGUCACUGACUGAUAGUAAAGUAAUGACCCUAUUAUUGUAGAAACGUAGAGUGAAUCAUCGGAUAGUAGAGUGAAUGUACUCUACAAUCGUAAAGCAUAGUAGAGUGACUUAAAACUUUACGAUCGUAGACUGUGUACAUUUGGGAGUCUGCAUAGUUGUGUGGCUCUAUUAAACCCUAUAUAUAUUUGAGAUGAUUUUGGUUAAUAAAAGAAAAUAAUAUUGUCAGAUAAAAAUGAUGUUGGCAUAAUAAAUAAAUAUAUAUACCAAUAUUUUUACAUUUGUUCAAGCAAUACUUAAACACUUUUAGCCGUAUUUAUUAUCGUGUAAACAUCAUUUUUACUCUCACAAUAUUAACCAUCAUAAAUUUUAAAAUUUUCAAUUUUCAAAUAUCUAAUUAUCCAUUAAGUGAAAUUGAAUGAAAAGUUUAUUGAAUAAAGCUCAAGUUUAAGGAGAAAGUAUAUAUUUUUCUCUUUAUUUAAAAGAAAAAUAACAUCUAAUGUGACAUACUAGAUAGUAUUGUGAUAUACUAAUAAAAUUAAAAUGACAAAUUUAAAAAUAUUAUAUAUAUUUUAAUAAUGAAUAAUGAUAUUGUAUUAUAUUAUAUUACUAUAACAAAAUUAUGAUAAUAAACUUGAUUUAAAUUAUUUUAUUUUACAACUAAAAAUUAGAAUCUUUUUGUAGAAUAAAAAAAAUUGAGACAAAUUGAAACCAAAGAAGGAAGGAAAAAUUUAUAAAAUUCUCAAAAUAAAAUACCCAAAAAUACAUAUAUUAAUAAUAUGAGUAGCCUUCUUCAACUCUACACUAUUGCUUUUUAUUUGCUGUAAUAUUUUCUUUUUGUAAAAAAAAGUGUCGACUAAGUUAUAGAAUUAAGAAAAUGUAUAUUUUUACGUAUAAUUUUGCUAUUUUUAUAUGUAUUUUUUUAAAAUAAAAAUAAGACUCGUCCUACUUUCUUGUAAAAAAGUAUCCUUUGAAAAUUAUGUGAAAUCAAUCAUGAGUACUAAAUUGAUGUGGGAUAUUAGUUAUAUAUAAAGGACAAAUAAUAGCAGAACAAAAUAAUGGAGCAAAAUGUACGGACGUGGGACAAACCCAAGAAAAGCAUGCUCUGCUUAAGUUAAGCUUAUCCUCUGCUCUGCUUCAUUUUCAUUUGCAACUUGGCACAUAAAAUUGCCAUACUUUUGCCUUUUCUCUUUUUUCCAGAGGGGUCACACCAUAAUCAUCCUACUGUCUAAAACUAUGACACGUGUAUUUUAACUUAUAAAUAAUAUUACUAUCAUAUAAUAAUGAUCACAAAAUUCUGGUAUACACGUAUAUACAUAUUUAUGGGCCCUACAUGUCAGAUAUGACCCCACAAUAUGCAUAUGUGUUAUGUGAUAGUAGCAUUAUUGUUAACUUAUUAUUUAUUUACAGAAAUGAUGAUGAGACGAGACGAGACUGAGAGUAUUUGUAUUAAUUUAUGUGUGGUGAUGUUAUGUAUUAUAAUAAAUUUAUAUUAAAUUAUAAUUACAAAAUUUAUAAAUACACGAAAUCCAUAAAAAUUAUAGAGAGCUUCAAUUAUUAUAGGUUUUAAAAAAAAUAUUAAAUAAAUAAUUUUAUUUUGUACUGUACAUCAUUUUGCAAACAGUAGCGAUAGAGUGAGUAGUGUCAAUUUUCUUGCCGGCAAGCCAUAAAAUGUUGCUUUACGUCAUUUGGGUCGAUCUUUUUGGGACUCACAGCUAGCUAGCUAGCUCGUAAAGGAAAUCUACCCUUUUGGACGGAACCAACUAGUGGCUUUGUGGCCUAAUUUUGACCAAAUGGCUUAAAUAUAUGGGAUGUGCGGGAGUGAGGGGUGGUGGGGGGUGGGGGAGGUUCGAAAUUCGAAUCUGCUGCCGACGUUUACACACGUGAUUCAUGAUGGCAUGCCGAGGUGUGUGUCUAUUGAGGUGAUACAUUACUCCCUACUCNNNNNNNNNNNNNNNNNNNNNNNNNNNNNNNNNNNNNNNNNNNNNNNNNNNNNNNNNNNNNNNNNNNNNNNNNNNNNNNNNNNNNNNNNNNNNNNNNNNNCUACUCCAAUUAAAGGUAAAGGGAGAAAGACAAAAGAUCAUGAGAAGAGGAGAGAGAAUGUUAGACACCUCGAUCAGUUCUUAAUUAGUUGACAUUAAUUAAUUAUUAGUGUUUGAUUUUAAUCUACUUUCUUAUGUGUUAUUAUGAUUGAUUCACAACUUGGAAAACAAAAGUACAAGGAUGUGUGUCAAGUGGGAGUUUAUAAAUUAUAUGUACUUAAUUUCUAUGAACAAAAUACAGUUUCAAACAAGUUUAGUUUACCUUAAAAAAAAAGAGAUAAACCAGAGAUAUAAUCAUAAUUAGUGUUUUUAGUUAUCAUAUUAAGGUUACUCUCUUAUGCUUUUUUUAAAAAAAACUCGUAAAAUUGCAAUUAAAUAAUUUUAAGAGUAUAUUUCAAAACGAGUAAUUCAACUAAAAAACGAGUCGAGUUGAGUCAAACUCAAGUACAAUAAAGCGAGUCGAACUCGAAUCUGAACAAAGAUUACAAAGUUAUAUUCGAAUUCGAGUACGAAUCGGAAUACUUUCAAAAAAUUCCAAUAAAAUUUGUAUAAAGUACUGUUCGACUCAACUUUAGAUCAUUUUCAGCUCUACCGAACAGGGGCAGAGCCACACUUGGGUUGUGGUGGCGCGGUAGCCCUAGUGAAUCUGACGCAAACAACCCCCAUUCGCUCCUACAUCCGCAAUGCUAAGGCCAUGGCGGCGACACCCGCCGACGUGAAGCGGCGAAGGAGUACCACUAAUCACUUCUUCAUCUGAUGAAUGGAGAGAAAGAGAGAGAGAGAGAGAGAGAGAGAGAGAGAGAGAUAGUCUAUGAGCUUAUGCAUAAAAUAUUCUCACACUACUAAAUUACUUUGUUUUCUCUCCAUAAACAAAGAAUUAGCCUAAACUUUUUAGAAACUGAAAUUGAAGAAGAAUAAUUCUCUACGAAUUAAGGUUAGCAAACUGAAUUGGAGAAUGAAUUGGAGCAAGGAAUUGUCACGAGAAGGAAGUAAAAACAAAUUUGAAGCAAGAAUGCAAGGGAUCGCAUCAAUUAAACUUCAAAUUGAGAGGUAAGCCAUGUGUUUUUGUAAGUUCAUAGAAAUUGAAAGUAUACAUAUGAUUGUUGAUAUAAUUGCUAUGCAUGGGUUGUGAAUUAAUGUAAGGGGAGUAUUGUGAAUUAAUGUAAGGGGAGUAUUGUUUAUGUUAUAUGGAGUAAUAAGGAAGGAUUCCAUGAAUUUUUUUGGUUAGAACCCUUCUAAAAUCUUGUGAAAUUCUGGAAUCUAAGUGUUGUAGGCAUGGUGUUUGAAAAUUUACCUCAAAGAGGUUAAAAUGUGUAAAAUUGAGAAUUAGCCAAUGUUCUAGGCUAGGAAGUAUGCAUAUAUGUAUUAGAAGAUAACCUAAUUUAUUUGUUAUGCAAAGAUCCUCUUUGAUCUAUCUUUCGGUAGUCCAGGACGAAAAAAAAUUAUGGCUCCGCCGUUGCUACCAAAAGUUAUCAUAUUUGGUCGAAGAAUAAUCUUACUUUACUUUAACAAUUAGAAAUCGAUAAAUCAAAUAAGAACAAUUAAAUUAAAGUUAUAAUAUAACCAAAUAAUAUAACAAUUAAAAUAAAUUUAAAAAUAUUAUGUCAUUUAUUAACAUAUAAGUAAAUAAUAUAACUAUUUUUUUUUAUUUUUUUUUCAGAAAUUGUGAGAGAAAUGGUAAUGAGCACGGCCCCCAUCUCGUCCUGGUAAUUGGUAAAGGGAGAAAAAUCUAGUAAGGUAUGUCGGUCAGCUGGUGGGCUAUGUGGAGUGGGACGGAAAGUGAAAGUGGGUAUAUUUCAAGGAUCCCCAACCUCACAACUUCUUUCUUUAUUCGUUGUACACACCUAUAUAAAUUAGGGUAUAUAUAUAUAUAUAUAUAUAUAUAUAUAUAUAUAUAUAUAUAUAUAUAUAUGUAUAUAUAUAUAUUAAAAAAGGCCCGACCCUAACCCUAAGAGCUAAGAUUAGAGACCUGGGUCAGAGUUGGGGUCCAAAAUAAAGGUUUAUUCCCGACCCGACCCAACCACGACGGCCAUCUUNNNNNNNNNNNNNNNNNNNNNNNNNNNNNNNNNNNNNNNNNNNNNNNNNNNNNNNNNNNNNNNNNNNNNNNNNNNNNNNNNNNNNNNNNNNNNNNNNNNNUUGAUAUUUUUACACGCAAAGUGUCUCUGUAGAUGUUAAAAUCGUCGCUAUAUAAUCUAUAGCGACACUUUUCGUGUGAAAAUAUCAAAAACUGUUGUGAAAAUAUCAUUUAUCUUUUAAAAAUAUUGUAUCAUUCCAAACAAUUUAAACUAUAAUAAAAAAUUGAAAAAUAAAUUUUUAUUGGAAACUUUUUUUUACAAUAAGUUUUUGGGUCAUAAGGAGUACUAAACUAUUAUAAUAUAUAUGUGGAAUGUAUGUUAUUUAAUAGAUGUAUGCUAUUUAAGAGAUAUAUAUUUUAGAUCCGUUUUAUAUUUAUAUAUGGGAAAAAUAUAUAUACACAGCUGUGUAAUACACAGACGUUUAUGACAAUGAUUUUUUAAAACUAUAGAUAUUAUGGUCUAUGACGUCGAUUCAUAGCUCAAAAAAUCGUCGCCAUAACGACUAUAUAUAUAAAUGGAAAGUGGUUAGCAUGAAGUUAACUUUGGUCAAUUGAUCCGAUACACAGACGAAAAGUGAUCUAUAUUUGCGUGUCAGCACUGUAUUGAUUAAUUGACUAAUUUACUACUACCUCCAUCCCAUAAUAAGUGAUUUUUUAGCUUAAAUCACACAUACCAAUACACAAGCUAAAAUGACAAAAAUACCCUUAAUAUAUUUUCUUUGAAGUUGAAGAGUUAAUGAGUGUCAUUUAAUUGUAGUGAUAGUAAGAUGCAAUAAAUACCAUUGAAUGCAUAAGGGCAUAUAUGAGAAAAUAUUACAAAAAUUAUAUUGAAAUUCUAACACAUAACUUAUUUUGGAAAAAGAUAUUAAGCUUUAAAAAGCACUUAUUUUACGGAUCCGGUUAACAUGAAGUAAUUUUUUUUGAUAAGUUGGUCAAUUGACCAAUAGAAUACUGACACACAUACAACCUCACCUGCGUGUCAGUAUUCUAUUAGUCAAUUGACCAACUUACCCCAAAAUUAACUUCAUACUAACCAUUUCCUUAUUUUUACCAUCCCUUCCCCAGUUAUGUACUCUGUAUACAAAUGUAUCCAUUCCCCAGUUAUACCCUUAUUUUAUCCACUUGCACACCAACUCACUUGUUUUUCACUACAUCAAUGCUUUCAUAUUUUCUCCACAUUUAACAUCAUCCACCAUAAUAGUUGGGCAUGUCCCAAUAGUAUGUAUCAAAAGUUAUUUCUUAUCAUUCGCUUAAACUAUCACUAAUCAUAUUUUAUUUAACGUCAAAAUAAAUUGAAAUGAAAUAAAAAAAAAUAAACAAGUCGAUAAACUUAAUAUAAAUAUUGAAAAACCAAUCUUCACUCGUGAACAUCAUUUGGAUUGAGGCACAAGUCCAUGUCACCAUCAAAACUCCAGAAACCUUACGGGUAGACCACCCACGUCACCCGCUGAAACUUCCAGCCUGGCAAGCCCUUCCCCACCCAACCACCUCCUCCCACGUGUGCUGACUCCCUCUCCCCUUCUUCUACAGCUGUUACCUCUCACUCAUUUCCCAUUUUUCCCCCACUAUAAAAACCCUAUUUGCCCCCACUCAUCUUCCCCAAACCAUUCUCUCUCCUCCCUCUCAAUUUCAUAACAAUGGCUUCUAAUUACAGUUUUGCCGCUCUCUUUUCAAGUCUGCUUCUUUUCACCACCAUUUUCGGACCCACCAUCGCUUCUUCCAGAAAACUCACGGCUUUAGUUCAAGAACAACCGCUGACAAUGAAGUACCAUAACGGUGCACUUCUCAAAGGCAACAUCACCGUUAAUCUCAUCUGGUACGGAAAGUUCACCCCAAUUCAACGCUCCAUAAUCGUUGACUACCUCCAGUCCAACUCCUUCCGCCGGGCCCCACUUCCCUCCGUCGCGUCAUGGUGGAAAACCACCGAGAAAUACCAUGGAGGCACAUCCACCCUCGUUGUAGGGAAGCAAAUCCUCGACGAAAACUAUUCUCUAGGCAAGUCCCUCAAGAAUUCUCAUAUUAUACUUCUGGCCUCCAAAGCCGACCACGUGAGCUCCGUCAAUAUAGUCUUGACGGCCAAAGACGUUGCCGUUGACGGGUUUUGUAUGAACCGGUGUGGAACCCACGGGUCAACCAGGGGGAACACCCGGUUUGCUUAUGCUUGGGUUGGAAACUCGGAGACCCUGUGUCCCGGUCAGUGCGCUUGGCCGUUCCACCAGCCGAUUUACGGCCCACAGAACCCGCCUUUAGUCGCACCUAACGGAGACGUCGGAGUUGACGGAAUGAUCAUCAACUUGGCCACCGUUUUGGCGGGAGCCGUGACGAAUCCGUUCAACAACGGGUACUUCCAGGGACCGGCGACGGCGCCGUUGGAGGCCGUUUCUGCCUGUACUGGGGUAUUCGGGUCAGGAUCGUAUCCGGGCUAUCCGGGAAAUGUGUUGGUGGAUAAGGCCACCGGGGCGAGCUAUAAUGCGUACGGAGCGAACGGGAGGAAAUACUUGCUUCCGGCCAUGUGGGACCCGAAAACGUCAACAUGCUCAACGCUGGUCUGAAGGUGGAGGAGGAAGAGGAGAGGGAAGGGGAUUUUGUUGGAUGUAUACGUAUAAGUCUAUAGAUAGAGUGGUGUUUGGAUAGAGUUCUGUUGUGGGGCCGAGCAAUGGUUCAAUCCAGAGUUUGUCGUUUUGUGUGACAUGGAAAUUCCACUUGGGAAGUCCAAAUAUUGGGAGAAAAAAAAAGUAGUAUAUUAUGAGAAGGAUAAAUAAUAGUCGUAUAUAUUUUGUAGAAACUGUUUGAAUUUAUAAAAUUAUUACUAGUACUACUUUUACUACUACUAUUAAUUCGUCCGAGAGUAAUGCUACACGGACAGCUUUAUUGGUUAUUUUCAUUUUUUUUUUUUNNNNNNNNNNNNNNNNNNNNNNNNNNNNNNNNNNNNNNNNNNNNNNNNNNNNNNNNNNNNNNNNNNNNNNNNNNNNNNNNNNNNNNNNNNNNNNNNNNNNGGCUUGUUAACUAUCAAAAUUAUGUAUAGUAUUUAUUCUAAUAGGAAUUUUUAUAAAAUAUAGUGUUUUAGGUAUAAUUUGGAUACAUAUAUAAAUACAUGGUUAUACAGAUUGUAUAACUUUGUAUUUAUAUAUGUAUUCAAAUUAUACCUAAAACACUAUAUUUUAUAAAAAAAUUUAUUAAAAUAAAUAUUAUAUAUUUUUUGAAAAUCACAAUAAAAAAAAUAAAAAAUAAAAAAAUUAGACCGAUCCAAUUUUUCGGCCUUAAUUUCCUGUCCGGCUAGACUUAUUCUUCCUCCAAAUUUCGUUCAUAAUUUUUGAAAUUUUAUCAAAAAAUUGUACCAAUCUGAACAAUUAAAAUUGGAUCAACAGUUUUAGUGUAUGGGGUAGUCUUAGCAAAGUUGAAAAUUUGAAUUUACAGUUUGAAUUUAGUUAUUGGUCAAAAUUGCAGGUAUAAAAUUGAAAUCGCAGCAUGUAUUUUUUGAGGCUUUUUUUAAUCUAAAUUAUUAACAAGAAUGAGGUUUUGUUACAUAAAAUUGAUAUUUUUUCUUAUAUUAUUAGAAAAUUAUUAAAUUCAUGUCAGAAAAUAUUAUUUUACAACAAAAGUAUCAUAAAAGAUUCUAUAACGAAGAUUUUUACUGUCGUUAUAUUUUUGUUAUGAAAAUAACAAAAAGUAUUGUGUAUUUAAUAAUUUUCUAUUAUUAUCAUCAUUUCAUUAAUCUCACUGUACGUUGAUUUUUCUGGAUAUUUCUUUUUCAUACACAUUCAAAAAAAAUUUUUUGCCAUUUACAACACAGAAGAAAAAUAAAAAAAAUUGAUAAAACAAUAUAAAAUUAUAAAAUUGAAUUAAUUUUGUAUUAUAAACUAUGAAUCAAUCUUUUAAUGCAUUUUUCUUAUUUAUUUUCUCGAUGAAUAAUGAUAAACAAGUCAAAUAAUCUAUAUUUCAUUCAAGUAUUUAAUUUUUUUUAUUCCACAAAUUUUCUUGUAUGUAAGCUCUUCAAAUAUUUCUCUUAUAUAAAAGAUUAUGAUUAAUUAUUUAAUUUUCGAGCAACUGUAAUGAUAUUUUUAGAAGUAGAUUAAUUCAAUUAAUUUUGAAACUGAAACCGCACCAAUCACAAGUGAUUUCAUUUAUAAUUUUGAAUUUAUCAAAAUACACCUAAACAAUUUCAUGUGUUGUUAGAAUUUUAAACCGCACCAAACUCGCUCUUAAUUUUAUAGCCUUACUUGAGAGUCAAAAUUAAGGUCAGACUGUAAUAAUGUAGGUGGGGUGGGGUCAUCUAUGAGUUUGAAUCAAAAUCACACGGACAGUGAUUUGAUUUUUGUGUUUCAAAUGUUUUGCAUGCAAGUAAAAAGUCAAAAUAAAUGUAUAGAAUUCAAAAAAUAAAAUAAAAUACUCCUUCCGUUCUUUAAUAUAGAUAGUCUUAGACAUGUGCACAAGAAUUAAAGAAUUGAUUGAAAAAUAUUAAUUAUAAUAUCAAUUGUUUAUAAUAUUCUUCACCUCACUUAUCUCAUAAAUAUGGAUCAAAAGAUUAGGUGGAGUAAUAAGGGAUAAUUUGGGAAAAAUAGUAAUCAAUUCUCCUAAAUAACCACAAACGACAAAUAAUUAAGAAUAUAAAAAAAAGUCUAAAACGACUUACAUAUAAAAAUGGAGGGAGUAAUAUAGUAAUCUUUUCCAACAUUAAAAUUGGGGAAGGGAUGGAAUUAAUACCAUCAUCAUCUAUUGUUUGUAAGGUCGGUUAAAAUAUUGUGGACUAGGAGGAGUCUCUUUUUGUUUUGUUUGUAUGUGUGUCAUCUUUUGGUAUACUACGAGUAAUGCUGCUGCUGCUGCUGCUGGGGUGCAGACCAUUAUAUUAUAGUAGCAACUAUUAACUAUAGUCUAUAGCUAUAGUGAGAUUCUACCUUAUCAACAAUACUUUUAUGGCCGAAUAGUACUUCUGUCAUUUUAAAUUAUUACUUAUUUUUAAAAUCGUUUUUAAAAUUUAUUUUUUAUCAGUUAAAUUUUUAAAAUGACAUUUUAUUAGAGUUUUCGUUCCUCCCAUCCGAUUCCACCUCAAAUCGAUCCAUUUUGACCAAAUAUUAAUUUUUAAAAUUUUAAAAUAUAAUAUUAUUGGGGUUGGGUCUGGUUGGGUCAAAAUGAGUCGGGUUGAGGUCAAAUCGGGUAGGAGGAAUGGAAACACCAAAAAAAUAUCACUUUAAGGACUUAAUUGACGGAAAAUGAACUUUAAAGACGACUUUGAAAAUGAGUGACAAAUUGAAGGGACAGAAGUAUCAUUCAACCAUACUUCUAUAAAAUAACCAAAAUAAAAAAUAAAAAAAUGUUAUGUUCCCAAUCUUUAGCUUGUGAUAAUUUUAUUCAAAUUCUCAAGGAAAACACAACAAUUGUUACAUUACAUUACAUGUCAUUGUUCAUAAUUUCUUAUAUUAUAAUUAAGAUGACAUGCACCAAAUGGGGGUUUCUUUUUCCCUAACAUUACUAUUAUAAUAAAAGUAACUUGAUUUUAUACUAUCAAUUACCAAGAGCAUAAACUUAAGAUUGUAAAUGAUCAAAUUAGGGCAAAGAUAUCCGAUGUUCAUCAAGUAUUAUUUUCUAUUAAGAAUGGAAACAUUAUUUGUCCCAUACAACUUAUUUGCCUAUUAUCAUACUACUAAUAUAUAAAAAGAAUAUAUAUAUAUAUAUAUAUAUAUAUAUAUAUAUAUAUAUAUAUAUAUAUAUAUAUAUAUAUAUAUAUAUAUUUAAUAGAAGAGUAUCUAUUAAUGCAUGCAUAACUGUGUAUUUCAAAUUGGGACUUGAUAGAAGUUUGUGUGCCGGCAACUUUCUCUUGUACGCAAGUUGUGCUGGCAUGUGAUAGAAUGGCAAGCAUUAAUUGCUAUGUAGAUGAANNNNNNNNNNNNNNNNNNNNNNNNNNNNNNNNNNNNNNNNNNNNNNNNNNNNNNNNNNNNNNNNNNNNNNNNNNNNNNNNNNNNNNNNNNNNNNNNNNNNACAAGGCCUUGCAUGAGAUGCACAAGUUGAGUUAAAAUAGUGGGGCAAUUUUAGUACACUUGAAAGCCAACUGUUUGCCACCCAUGCGUGUAACCUAUGUAUAUAUAUUAUGCCAGGUUAUGACGAAAGCAGAAUGCUAUAGGAUCUACCUUUUUGGCACUCACUUCUACCUUAUACCUGCUUAUUAUUAUCUCAAACAAUACCAUCCAGGAUAUUGAAACUAUACACAUCUCCUUGUACCAAAAGAAACAAGGCAUUAGCAAUCACAAAAUUCUAAUGUCAACCAUUUCAUUGUCAUCUAAAAGUCAAAAGACACUGUUAAAAGGUAGUCAGAAAAGUAUAUGGCAAAUAUAGCAAGCAUCAUACAAUUCCAAUCUAACCAGCUGAUUUUAGCAGCCAAAAGUCGAAAAUCCCUUCCUAAUCGGCCGAAAGAACCAUCUCUGAUGUUUCAGACAGACGAUAUUUAAGGACUCAGUAGUAGGGGUUGUAACGCACUGGCAUCCUGAAUCUGGGAAACUUCCUGCAAUACGCACAAAAGACAAAAAAUCAUUUACAAUCUGGCUCUCAUAAAGUAAAAGCAAAAGACCGUUUAGAGACUAAAGUUGAUAUGUAAUGAAUGUGUGCAACAGACAGUAAUGAAGCUUACCCAUAUCCAUAAGGAGAAAAGAAAGGAGGAGGCAUAUAUGCUCCCCUCGGGAAGCCCAUGUAGGGAUUGGAACGCCUUGGACGGAACUGCUUCAUCCCUGGUACAUUGGUCCGCUUAGCUGAUAUCUGAAAUGUUAUUAACAAAGUGUACUUGUUAAGGAGAAAAUAGAUUAGAAUGUUCAAAUGAAGUGUUCACCUUUUCGAAUUGCCAAUGUCUUUUGUACACUAUAUAAUGUGAUCAAUAGAAGAAGUAAAGAUUUUUUUGACCUUCAAUUGUCGGCCAUGAAGUUCAGAUUCAUUCAGAAGAAGAGCCUCCUGGACAGCUUCUGGUUCAACGAACUCCACGUAAGCAUAGCCCUUUGGUUGUCCAAUUUUGUUAGUCCGGAUAGUGACUCUAUUCACCGUCCCACAUGACUGAAAAUGCUGCUGGACUUCCUCAGGUGUACAUGAAUAGUCCACCUGUCAAACAAAUUUUAACACCUUAGAUUUUUUUGCCAAAAGACCAACAAAUAGAAUACAAUGAACUAAUCAAACUUUAUACUCCCUCCGUCUCAUGAUAAAAGUCCUUAUUACUAUUUUGGGUAGUCCCAUAUUAAAUGUCCAUUUUCCUUUAAUAACCAAACUUUUACACAUAUUUUCCUAUUAUACCCGUAGCAUUAAAUAUCUCAUACUUUUUUUAUUCUAAUUCUCUCUCCAUAUUUAAUGACAUUAUUAUGAACAAUUUUGUCAUUUUAUUCAUCUUCUUAAUAUGUGUGAAAAGUCCACCAAGACUUUUAUCCUGGGACGGGGAGGGAGUAACUCUUAAUAGAUAAAGCUGUAUAAAAGGGCCAACCCUAAAGUCAGAGCUUCAGUCCUCAUUUGGACCAAAACCCCAUUCAUGCUGGUAAAGUGCAGAUCAUACAUAAUAUUAAGGAAAUAAAAUUGAUUUCCUUUUAAAGUAUGCAUAAUAAACGAGGAAAAAGAACAAAGACCAAAUUUCCCCAGAGAAUGAACAGUUAUACCUAAAAUUACACAAGAAAACCAAAAACAAGCACAUCAAAAAUCCCAUAACAAAAUUAUAUUCUGAAUAUGGCUUCUGAGAUAUGAAUUACCGACCUAGUCCUGAAUGAUUACAGUAUACAAAAGCUGGAUUCUAGGAUAUAAUUAUUGUAACAGAAAGAAGAAAGGGUUGGAAAAUGCCAACAGGAUUUACAUCUUUAACAAAACAACAAAUAGAAUGCAUAUAGCUACUACUUACAUUCCCAUAACAAAUACAUGCAGCUGGAAAUAAAUUCAUGUUUUGCUCUCAAGUAUGAAACAAGUGCCCAACUAAGGGAGGAAGAAAGGGGAAAAACAAGUCCUAGGAUUCAAAAUGGAAAGCCAAAAAUGUCCAAGACUAGCUUCUUCAAGGGGCUAAUGAUCAAUCAAGGAAAUCUUAUGUCAUAUUUUGAGAAACUAUGGAUAACAAUUCGCCUGGUGGUUGAAACAAUAUUUAGAAAAUAAAAAGAAUUUUUUUAGAAUGCAAAAUCAGUUAAAGCCCUUUUCAACUAUGUUUAGACUUUAGACAUGAGAAGGAUUUCUCCAAGUAUUCGUUAUACCUGUUUCUCUGACAAUCAGAAAAGCUUCUUAAAGACCAACCAGAGCAAUCUCAAUGAAAGGAUACACAUGCUUUCUACACAUCAUCCCUCAUAAAUGAAUAUGUACUCAAAAGCUUAAACCCAGAAUAAAUUUUACUUAUAGGUUGUAUUCUGGAGUAACUAGUAAACAUCUUAUAAGAGCGGGAAAGCACUUUAGAACAGAAUUAGGCCUAACUUUCACCAAAUGUGUAAGAAUAGAGAAUCAGAGCAAGCAGUAAUGCGUAAAGUAAUUUAUUGAUCAGAAAGAAGGCAGAAGGAAAUAAUUAGAGAGAGAGAGAGACUGGGGUACAAUGACGUGAACUCAUUAUCCUAUAUAUUCUGACAAGUAAAACAAAGAAGAAUUAAAUUGAGAGAGAGAGAGAUCAAUGACCCCUCACCAUAAACAGCAUAGUAUCUAGACAUUCCCAGAGCAGUAACCACGACCAACAGCGCACUGAGGCAGCGCAAUCAAGACAAUGGCACCAUAGCCGAUGGUGCACUCUUCGUAUCACAUUACUCCACCCAACUGAGUUUGGAUAGAGAGAUCUUGAAUGCAUUCAGGUCCAAGAACUUGAGUUUCCUUGCAUUCAAAACUUUUCUGUUUCACUAAGCAAUUUUUGGCGUUUACUGUUUCUUUUCUUUUUUCUCCCACAUUUUUUUUUUCAAUUCUGAACAUUUCUUUUGAUCGUUCUCAAACAUUCUAGCCAAAGCUUUCUCUCAUUAUUUUAUUUUUCUUUUCCUAAUCUAUUUUGAAAGUAAUUCUUUCUUUCUUGAGGGGAUGCGUACAGCCUAUUUUACUCAAAAUCCUGCUUUAAUGUUUAUUUCUCUCCUUUUUUUUCUUUUUUUAAAACCAAUUCCAAGCAAUCAGCCUAAUUUUAUUUCUCUUUUAUCUCUAAAGAAGGAAUAUUUUUCCAUUAUUUCCCACAACCAACCCUAGGAAUCAGAGAACUUGGAGAACCAAGCAAGAUCCUGCGAUCGUCAUCAAACAUUAAGUCAAGAUCUCAGAAAUCAUUAAUAUGAACUCAAAAUGACAACAUCAAUACACAAAAGAACCAAAGAGCUGGAGACAUACAUAAAAUAAGAGAAAAAUAUUGUACUUUAAAUUUUGCACAGAAUGCAAAAUGUCCAAAGCCGUGAACAACAAAUUAUACCACAAAUUAAUCAGGUAAUAAGGUAAUGUACAAUAUAUCUCUAGAAUUCUAGAAAAAUGAAUUGAUCAUAUAAAGCUUUUAGCUCUCGAGAGUUUCAACUACUUAACAACAAACUCUACCUCUCUCUCUCCCACACACACACAGAGCUGAACUCAUGCACUCCAGAAUCAAUCGCAAACAGCAGGACCACAACCUAUGGUCCUUACCGAAUCAUCACAACCAAAAGAGUUGAAUAACCUAUUGAAUCAUGUCUUCCACUAUAAGUAAUACCAACUGAAAGUUAUUUAUUUCAAAUUAAAAUAGAUGUAUAUUAAACUAUAUCAUCACCCUCUCUUAACAAUAUCCUAUCUUACCUUUUUAGAUUUCUCCUAGGAAGCAUGGAUUAGGGUGCCAGGACUCAGGUUCGCCAUAUGGGGAUUAGACAGUUUCAGCAUAUCUAAAAAAUUGUAGAUUUGGGGAUUCAACUGUUAGGCAUAUCUAAAAAAUUGUAGAUUCAGCGAUUCGCCACAUAUAUAAAUAUUCAAUAAAUUUAUUUAGAAAUGAAGAAUUGAUUAUUCAAUCCAUAACUGCAGGUAGUAGUAAUGGUGGUUCAAUUGGUCACAAAGGUGCUAAUCAAGAAUCAAGUCACAGGCUUUCCCUCACUUAAUAGCACAAUACAUAGUUUUGUAAUCUUUGCUUUAAAUUUUCGAUUCAAAUACAAUUUUAAAGCAUGUUUUCAAUUUAUAUAAUAUAUAUAUAUAUAUAUAUAUAUAAAGAGAGAAUAUAGAUCACAUGUAUAUUAAAAGUUUAAUAAAAUUCAAGAAAAAAGUACGAACUUUCAAGAAUACCAAAUUUUAGUAUUAUUAAAAAAAUAUAUUACCAAUAUUACUUUAAUAAUUAUUUACAGUCACUGAUGAGUGGGUAAUUUACUCAAGAUUUAGGUAUUUCUAGACUUAAUAAUUUGCUUGUUUUAAAGUAUUUUAGGACAUAUUACUGUUUUAUUUUGUGUUUUGUAGGUUACUGCAGCUGAAAGGCAAAAUGGGAAUUUCUAGCAAGCUGAAGGGCAAAUAUUGUAAUUUGGGAACCCAAGUCAGCGCCGGGGCGCUCAACAAUGAAGGAAUCCUAGUGUCGGGGAGCUGGGAGGCAGACUUGGUUGCUCGGAUUUUGUGCUGGGAAAGGAAAGGAAAGGAAGGCAAAUUUCUAGUCAAUGAAAGAUUCUAAAAAAAAGUUGACCUAAUGGGAACAAAAAUCAAUAAAAGGGAAGGAGGCUACUCGUGGAAAGGAUAUGCGUACCCAGAAUUUGAGACAGAUGUUGAAGAUUGGACUUGAAGAUUGCAGAGCACACAAGGAUUUCAGAUUGGAGAUUGAAGAAUAGAGACAAUUACUGAGUUUUUAUUCUUCUCCAUUUGUAAUUUAAUUGUGUUGUUUUCCAUGGGAUUUUUUGUUUUAAUUUUCAGUAUGAACUAAUUUUCUAAUUAAGGCUACAAUUGAACCUUUUAUGCUUAUGAAUUGAUUAUCUAAAUUAAACCAAUUAUUUAUUCAAAUUGAGUUGUCUAUCAUAUUUGCGCUUAUUGAUUAAUUGUCUGACCAACGAUUACUGUGAUGCACUAGAUGAAUUCGGGAGAUGAAAUCUAGGGUUAGAUCUGAAUGUAAUAACAUGUAUUUUUACUUAUUUUCAUGAGAUGGAUAAUUAAGGGUAUGAAUUGAAUAGGGAUCUCUCUUUUCAUUGCAUGUAACUAUUGAGAAUUGGUACUUAACGAAUUUGAUUCUUUUGUUUUGCAUAGAAAUAUCGUAGAAUUAAUUGAAUUAAAUAGUUUUAUUUGAUCACUUGAAAAGAGACUUAUAAAUACUUUGAAUUCUUGUUUAUAACUCGAAUGAAUUUAAUAAUUGGAUGAAUUAUGUAAUUGAUUUAUAUGGUAUAAUUGGGAAUAUUGUAGUCUUAAGCCUUUCUCAUCUGAAUCAAUUCUUUGUGUUAAAUUUAGUUUUAAUUACUCUAGUUUAGUUUUUAAUUAAUCAUCACAAAAUUCGGUUGUUUAAAUAAAAUUGAAUUGAUACAAAACUAGUUGGAAUUUGUUAAAUAAGGGUUCUUGUGGGUUCGACACUCGAUUUUAUCACUUUAUUACUUGAUUGACCGUGUAUGCUUGCGCGUAUUUGUCAUUAUGAAAUCAGACAACAGUCACCAUGCGUAACCCUAUUUAAGAAGAUCAAAUAUGAAUAGGCUAUUAAAAUUAUAAACUAAAAAAGAAGAUAACAUCAGUAAUUUUGUUCUUCUUAAUUACACCCAAUAAUACUAUGAGGAAUACCAAAAAUAGUCUAAUACCCUAUUUUUCAAAAAAAUAUUUUAGUGAAGUAAAUACCAUAUUUUGAGGAAGAGGAAAGGAUACUAGAGUACCAAAAUUAAAUAAAUAUAUUAGUAAAACGUGUAACCUAUUUAAGAAGACCAAGUCCUAGUAGAAUAUUAAUAUUUAAAAAACCCGACCAUAUGGGUUCUCUUUUGCGGAAUAAGGAAGAAUACGACACAGGGAAAUGAGUUCACCAAUGAGAGAAGAAAAGGCGAGGAAAAGAGGAGAGAGAAGUACCUCAGAUCAUGGAGAGUCGUGCAUAAGAUCAUCGGGUUUCACUUUCCAGGUAUGAGAAUUUGUGAAAUUUCAGUUUUAAUUUAGAAUCAAAUUCUACCUUUCCCGAAUCUCUCGAACAAAUCCAAUGAGAAUCUAGACUAAAUGAAUCGUUGCUUUUGGUAAAGUUUCAGCACUUCUUUGUUGAGCGAAUCUCCAAAUUUUGGUAAAGAUUCAGCGUUUCUCUGUUGAGCGAAUCUCCGCAGCGAAUCCUGAAGAAUUCGAAUCCCCGACAAAUCCCUUCGUCAAUUCGUUGGGUGAUUGCCAAAUCCCUGCUUCUUAGAUUUUCUUUCAUCUCUAUACAACAUAUGAAUCGGUCUUAGAUCUACUAAUUAUUAUGGAUGGAAGUUCGAUUUUCAACGAAUUGAACCCGCUCUUAGCCUUGUCCAUCAUAAGCUUGUUAUAUUGCACCAAGUCAUUUAACAUUUUUUAUCUAUUUUGCAGAUGAAGAGCAACUCCUUGCUUGAUAGGGGACGAAAACGAUCGAAGCUCCAUUUUCUUGUUUGAAAAUUGGGUGGAGAAUCAGAAAAAGACAGCCUAUAAGGACAUUAUCAUUGGUAGUCUUGCUAGAAAAAAUCAGGAAGCCACACUCUCACAGCAAGGAGAGCACCAUUACUCCCUUUAUGCUUGAGAAGGAGAAAAGGAUGCAGCUGUUUUCUUUAAGAAACUCCAAUGGCUUUAAGAUUCGUAGGAGUAUUCUACAUUAACAUCGAGAGAUUGCCGGGGGCAGAUAUACUCUUACAGUUAAGUUAAUCUACUUACCACUCAAGUGUCGAAUAAAUAAAACUUAAACAAGAAGUCACUCAUCACUGUACAACAGAGGAAUGUGCCACAUAUAAUAUACAAAAUAAAGAAAAGAUUAAUAUUGCAACCAUAGAGUUAACAUGGAAAAAGCGGCCUCACAUUGCCAACAAACACUGAUCGAGAAUCUACUUCCUCCUUGUUUGCCUGAUUUACUGCAGCAGUAGCAGGAUCUGUUUGCAGAGAAAAUAAGUUGGGAUCAAGAAGUGAAGCAAUAUUUUUGCAGGUUCCUAUUAAUAAGCAUCACAAACAGUUACAAAAGGCAAGUAAAAUAAAAAAAGUUACAAAAAAAAUAAAAAUAAAAAAUUAGUCGCCACUUUCCCUGUCAUUCGCGAAUUCACAACAUCAUCUGGUUUAGACCAGAAAAACCAGAAUACUAUUAAGUGUAAACUUCUAAUUCUCAUACAACUCUGAUGCAUCAGCAAUUGAAAUCAUAUUAGGUAAAACUCAAACUGACACCAACAUCCUUAUUUUAGUUUAGACCAGUCAAGGAAGAGUUUGCACAAUGGGAUCAAGCACGUUGAAAGUUGACUCUCUACCAGGUUUUUGAAAUCAAAAACGCCAAAAUAUGAAGCAUAAGCUUUUCCCAGAGUUCAGGCAGACUAUUAAUUUUGCUAAAACUAACAACAAAGUUGCCUUGAUUUUCAGCCAUAAAACAUGGGAAAUUCAAACUUAAAUACAUUUUACAUCUAUCAUAUUCAAUUCAGUUUGAUAACCAAGAGUCUAAUACAGUCUAUUUACGAAGCCUCAAUAACCAAAUUAGGAUGCCCAACCCCCAGUACUAUACUUGCUUAUAGACAAACCAGAAGACGAGAGAAAAGAAAGAGCUAGAAGAACAAGGGAAAUCACCCUAAAGACGAGGGAUGAUCUGACUCAAAUUAAUGAUAGUACUAUAUACUCCCUCCAUCCCAUAUUAGACGUCCACUUUUCCUUUUUUGUCUGUCCCAAAUUAGUUGCCCCAUCUCUAAAUUUGUAUCAUUUUUGCUCAAAUUUUUCCUAGUAUACCCUCCACAAUUUCUAGAUACAUCUAAUUAGUUUAUGGGAAAGUGAAACCAUUAACAACUUGACCAUCUUGAAAAAAAUAAAAAGUUGACUAAAUGCUAAUGUUACUUAUGCGAACAUAAGUAAUUGAAGCAAUGAAAAUUGAAAUAUACUUAUAAAUUGAAUGAAAGAGAAUGAGUUGAUGAUGUUAAUUUAAUAGGGAUAUAUUAGAAAUAAAUUUAUUACCCUAAUCUGUGUGUCAUUUAAAGAAUGGGCGUUUAGUAUGGGGCGGAGGGAGUAAUAAGCUUGACUACAGACAAUGUUAUUGUUUUUAUAAGAUAAAGGUGGGGUAAAAAUUAUAAUUGUAUACUUUAACCAAAUAUGUUCCAUAUAAUUCUGGUGUAGGUUACAUCAUAGCUCUAUUUGUUUGCAGCGACUAUUUGGGGAUUGGUUUGUAAUCUUCUAAUGAGCCCCGUAUCUUUUUUGUACCAAAUUUUUACUCUGAAUUAUAAUUUUGGUAUAGAAUCUUACCCAAAAAAGAGGAAUUAUCCAAUACCUAUCUCCCCCAGUUUUUAUAUAAUCCUCUCACCAUAAUUCAUGAUACUAAAAAUCCUAAUAGACCUUGCAACCAAACAUCAACAUCCUUGACGAAAUUAUAGGCAAUCCUGAUUUUAAUCACAAUUUUCCCUUAAACUCUGUCUGAUGCUUUACAUUGAAAAUAAUAUUUUACAAUAGUAGAAUGUCCAUCCCUAUCAAUAAAGAAAUUAUCUCCUCAGAAAGGCUCGUAUGUAUGUUAAGAAUUUUGAGCCAGAGUACUGCAUUGUAUUGGCUAAAAUUGGACACAAACAUCACACACACGCAUAAUACACAGUAAAUUCAAUCAUUGAAACAAAUAAACCCUAAUGGGAAUAAAUAAUGCUAAAACAUGAUAUAUUCUUCUCAAAACCCUAAAAAAACGAAAAGACAAGAGGACCUUGUGCGGAACCACCCAUUUCCUUCUCGACUUUGGCCUGCAUUUCUCUAAGAGCUGCUGCUUCGUCUUCCAUCUGUUGCAGCCUCUUCUUCAUCUCAUCUAAUUCCUGCAUUUAAAAUUCAUAAAAUAAUUUAGCCUUUUCAUAUUAUUGAUUUUAAAUAAUGGAGGAACUAGAUCAAAGUAAAGAAAAAAUGUAUGAUUACAGUUCCAUUCUCUGUUCCGGCCAUGUCCAUGUCUCUAAUCUCUCUUUUCUCUCUCUCUCUCUCUCUCUCUAUAUAUAUAUGUUUUGUUCUGUGAAUCCAUAUAUAAAGAAAGCUCUUGAAUGUGGGCAUGGAUGACUUUGAACCUGUGGCCAAACAUGGCAUAUACCAUAUGUGACACAUCUAAUCAAAAAUUUAAAUAUGUUUGGAUUUUGGAAAUAAGAAAAUUCUAAAAUUUUGACAAAAAUUGUUAGUUUUUUAAAUCGUUUAUCACACUAAAUCAUAGUCCAACAUUGUUCUUGAUAAUUAUUUUUUUAAGUACAAAUAAUUAGCCAAGUUAAUUAAAAAUAAUAUAUCUUUAUUUUGACAUAUAUUUAUUUUUCUCUAUUUUUAAUCUCUUUUUAUUUUUUAAAGUUCUAAACAAAAAAGUUCAUCGUACUUUUUUAAUUUAAAAAAAAUGAUAAAAAGAGAUAAUAAUAUCAAUUUUUGAUUUACUUCCAUUGUUUGUGAGAUUUUUUAAAAGAAAGCACAUAUAACUUUGACCAUUUCUAGUCCAAAUUUUUUGUCAAAAAAAUAUUGAACAAAAAUUAAAAUUAUUUAAUAUAUCUUGUAUAUUUGCUAUAUUAUAAUAUUAGAAUAUAUUUAUGUAUUAUGAGAUUUUUAUGUAAAAAUUAUAAUUACGGUGUAUAUUAAUAAAUAAGAUCGAAUAGAAUUAUAAAAUUAAUUUAUUCAAUCUGAUAUAUCUUUAAAAUAUUAUUAUUUUUAAUUAUUAUAAAUUCACACAUUUUCUUUCAUGUGCAAAACGAAAACGCGACAAACCCAUCUCAGCUAUGAUAAAAAAACAGAAGAGGACAACGUGGGGCCCAGUCUGAUGACAAAUGCCACCAUAUUAUUGGACUUGAAACAUAGAGAUAAGAUUUCAUAAUCCAAAUCCAUGAACGAAAAUGUCUAACCAGCAAUUAGCAACAGAAAAUGUCUUACCAGUGCCAUCAUCCUCCAUCUUUUAGAGGGGGGAAAUACAUACACUGCGUGUGGUGGCCGGCCGGUUUAUAAAGGAGGCGGUGGCCACCAUGGCAGCCACAUUAUGCAACCUAAGCUCUGGCUCUGGUCUCAUGCAACUCAACCACCACCUUCAGAACAAGCAAAGCAUCACAAGGUAAUUAAGUUUUAGUUUCAAAAUUUAUGUGGAUUUUGGCUAUUACCCAUAAGUUUGAAUGUAUAGUUAAGAGUUCCAACACGUGUUACAAAAGUUAUUUGUCAAAUUAUAAUUGCUAAAUACAUUGUACUUAUAAAUUUGUAGUAUAUAUCAUUUCCCAUAUACAAUUUUUGGUUAGUUAAUGAUUUUUUUUGUAUAUUUUCACUAAUUAAUAAUGCCACUAUCAAGUUACUUUGUCUUAGAUUUUAUAUGAUUAUGCUUUGUCUAUGGACUACGAAUCUGCAUUUAUGAACAAAUUAUGAUAUAGAGAGAAUAAUGUUUGGGCUAAUUAACAUUUCACUAUCACUUCCAAUUACUUGCAAGUUGGCUGAAAUUGUGAUAAUAUGUAUUUGUAUCUGGUGUGAUUGAUGCUAGUUUAAUUUGUAGGUGUUAUUCAUUGGCCCCUUUGUUAGUUGCUGCUAAAAGAUCAUCUUGCUGCUGCAUCAGCAGUCAAAGAUGUAGCAAUAAGACUUGUGGAAGACAAAUUAAGGUGAAGGGACGGCACCAUUGGCGGAGGACCUCAUCCAAUAGUAGAGCAGAGCAUUCUGAUACUGUUUACAAAGAGGAAGAACAAGAGGAUAUAUCUAGACAAACCUUGAUAUGGAGGGCAAUCAAGUUACCCAUAUAUUCUGUUGCUUUGAUUCCUCUAACUGUAAGUCGAAGGCUUCUUUAAGCUUUCAAGUAGAUAUUGAUAUGUCAGUUGUUUUCAAAUUUGAAUAAGAAAAAAGUGAAAAGUCGUACAUAAGUGUACAUUGUUGUAAUCUCCAAUUAUUUACAUUGCGUAAAAUAUGAACCUGUAGAUAGCUUGAUCGGGUACAGUACCUGCGACUGAAGAGUAUAUGUGUGUUUAUGUAUUUGAACUAUAAAAUCAGCACAAAUGAUUUAAGUUUUCCAUCAUCACACAACAUAAGACAUGAAACUAUUAGGCAGAUUACAGACAUCUUAGAUCCACACAUCAAUAAGCCAAAAGAAAAGUUCCUACCCUUCACAAGUUUUUAUCCCAACACAUUGGCUCUAAAGCAUAAAGGAAAGUUAGUAAUGGUAUUCCAAGUAUACCUAGAAAUAACAGCUUUUUUCCAUGCCUCUACCCUUCCUUCAGUUGAACAGAGUUGCACAUCUCCGCAAGAACUUGAAAAAGUAAAUUCCUUUUUCUUUUUUAUUUUUGUUUGUUCACAUGUUUGUUAAUGGAUUCAAAUAUUAAACAAAGCUCACAUCUUCUUGCUAUAAGUCUUAAAACUGCAUAUUAAGUGUCUCGUUAUAUCUUCACCUUUUGCAAGCAGGUUGGAAGUGCAGCUGCCUAUUUUCUGACAGGCCUGUUUUCAACUAGGCGUUAUCUUGUGUUGUUGGCUUCUUCAGUUCUUAUAAUCACUUGGCUUAACUUAAGGUAAGUUACAGCAGUUUUACCAAUAAUUUACUAAUUCUAGUCGACUUAUCCUGCUGAAGCAGCUGUAAAAGUAACUGAUCCCCAUUAUUUAGAGACUGCAAGUAUGUUGUGUAAAAUGGAAGGUAUCUUACUUAGAGCAUGACAUUGUUGUCCGGAUGCACAAAUUAUCUGGAUUGCACAAGGUGAUUACUGAGUUCAUAUGUUACAGUGCAUGGUGAAAUCACACUCACAUAUAGGGUCACUAAAGGAUUGCUUCUGGUAUGUGACUUGCCCAGAAGACUCCCUAAUAGAUUGGACAAUGCUUCAAUGUGCCAGGUUUGUCCAACUUGGCGGAGCUGGAUAGGAAAGAAAAAAAUUGACUCUGUAAUACUGAAGUGGCUGUUCAGCAGAAUCGGGAUAGUCAUGGAUUUGUCUUCUGUCAAGUUCAUGUCUUAUUUGCUCUUUUCAUCUUUUACUAUGCUCUUUCAUUUCUCUCUAUUUCAUCUCAAGACCAGAGACAUCAUCACUUCAGUUAUGUAUCUUUUACUUCUUUUCUUUAAUGUGGAUUCAAAUCUGUAUAAUAUGGGCAGCAACGACGUUUAUGAUUUUGAUACAGGAGCAGAUGAAAACAAGAAAGAGUCUGUUGUUAACUUAGUUGGCAGGUGAGAACUGGUUUCCUCCCUUGAUUUUUUUGUCUCUGUGUUUUAGUUUUGCCUAGUGUGUGCGUGUUAUUUUUGUCAGUAGUGACAAAUACCUGAUGGUUAUUGUAUUGCAAAUUUGAAGCCGUACAAGAACCCUGAUUGCUGCUUACCUAUUACUAGUUCUUGGUUUCAUGGGACUUACUUGGGCAUCUGUGGAGGCUGGAAGUAUGCGAUCCGUGUUAUUACUGGCGUCUGCAAUUACUUGUGGUUACGUAUAUCAGGUACUAAAUACUUUUUUUACUGCUUGGUAAGAUUCUCAAAAUUCUGAAUUGAUCGACUUUGUUACUCAGCUCAAAACCAUAAGCAAACUAUUUGUAGCUUUUAGGACCACAUAUGGUGAAGUGGAAUUUUAGGUAAAUCACAUUUAAUUUGCAUUUAAUAUGUCAAGUAAUAAGAUUACUUGACAUAAUUUGUUGUCUUCUCCAUAGUGGAACGGUUUUAUGUUCCCCUCAGGAGCGGAUAACAUUUCUGGAAAGUUUGUUAGGAUAUCAAAUAUCUAGCUUAAUCAUACUCGCAAUAAUUGUGCCCUGAUGUUGUAUCUGUCAUGUUGGCGAUGGAGGAGGCAAAAUUUCAUGUUUUACUAUUUUGUUUUCAGUGCCCACCAUUUCGGUUAAGCUACCAAGGAUUAGGAGAACCCUUGUGCUUUGCAGCAUUUGGCCCUUUUGCUACUACUGCUUUUUAUCUAUUACAGAGUAGCGCAAGGUUUAAUUUUUAUGCUUUUUUGUCACUUUAGUAUCGGGAUUCAAAUUUGCAUACCUUCUUGAUACUGAUCUACGAUAAACAUAUGACAGUAAGCUUCCAAUAACUGGCACAAUCCUAUCUGCUUCAUUCCUUGUUGGCUUGACAACAACUGUUAUUCUCUUUUGCAGUCACUUUCAUCAGGUAAUCUUUCUCUCUCUAUCUUGUUAUCCCUCCAUCUCUUUUUAUAAUGUUAUUUACUUACUACCUGACAAAAAUGGUGGACAAUUCAGAUAAAUGAAGAUAGACCUGUUGGAAAAAUGUCUCCUUUGGUGAGUAAACUUCUAAAUCUUCAAAUCUAACAAAUAAAAUGAAUGAACAAAUAAAUCAUUCUUUAUUUCGUUAUUCAGGUUAGGCUUGGCACGAAAACCGGUUCAGAAAUAGUGAAAUUGGCAGUGAUAACACUCUAUUCACUUUUGUUUGCCUUUGGUCUUAGCAGGGUUCUUCCUUUUACUUCCAUUGUAAGUCGUGUUGAAUUCUAUAGUUUCUAAUUCUACUUUCACUUUCCUGUGAAGAAUAGUUUCAUCGCCUCCUCUUCUUUAUGCUGGAUAUCCAUUUUCUUAUCUAGUUCUCUAGACAUUGUUCUGAAAAUAUUAAUUGUUCUGUUUCAGUUUCUUUGUGCCCUUACAUUACCCGUGGGCAAACUGGUGGUUAGUUUUGUUAGGGAGAAUCACAAGGUCAGUAGCAAACUCGUUUAAGUUCUGCUCAAUUAAUGUACAAGCAAAACGUCAUUCGGGACCCCAAAAGUAGUAGAAAAUUUGAUACCCUGCUCGGGUAAUUGUUUGUUUACCAUAAAGUGCCACAAGUUUGGAGUGGAAAUCUUAACAGACUGAAUAACUUGUUACUCUAUACUUUGAAUGAGUUGUUACUCUAUAAUUUGUUCCUAUGAACAGAAUCGUUCCAUUACUAUAUUUUAUUCUUUAACCAUUAAAGUUGACGAAUCAAUGUGGGGCUGCACGGUCAUUGAAAAGUUUAAAAGGACUAUAAUAUUAGAGACCAUGUUAUUAGAAGAUCACAUGUUGUCUUUAUAGUACUUUCAUAUUUUGAAAUUAUGGUCUUGCAACUUUGUUUUUACAGGACAAAACAAAGAUUUUUAUGGCCAAGUAUUUCUGUGUGAGAUUGCAUGUGAUAUUUGGAGCUGCUUUGGCUGCUGGGCUGGUUGCUUCUAGAUUGAUCACAAGAAGACUAGUGGCUGUUAACCUCUGAGUAAGCUGUGUAGCAAAGUAUUAAAUGGAGAAUUUAAUUGACGAAAAUUAGGUAACCCUAAAAGAUCAAACAUUUAGUUUUAAUGUGUCCAAGUUGUUUGAUCUCGGAUCAUAUUUUCAUGUUACCGUUUAAGUAGAGUUCAUUUUGCAUUGCUGAUACCUCAGACUGCAAGCAAGGGUAAGGCAUGAACAUUCAAGAGUAUAUUUGGAAGCACCCAGUGAAGAACCAUAGACCUGGCAAACCGGCAGGGUUUUUAUGGAAUAGGUCAGGCUUAAAAAUGUCUGGUUCUUAAAUAAGUGCAUCUGCCGAGGGACUUUCAAGCUUUUCACCAGCAAGUCUCGCAGCCAAGUGGCAUUGACGCUCUUCAAUCUGGGUUUGAAAAAGUAUGUAUACUAGACUUGGUAGUGCCUCCAGUGAUUCGGGUUAUGCUGGGAAUUUAAUUUUUUUGGUGACAAAACAUGUAGAUAUACUCGAUUCCUUUUAGUUUGUAUAGUAGUAUUAUGUUCUUUACCAAAACAAUCCCAUAGCUCAACCACUUAAAAUAAUUAUUCCAAAAGCAUUUUUAGCAUACAUAAUAAACAAUAAAUUACAGGGGCAAAAUCAUAUAUUAUUAUCUAAUCCAAAGAGAGCAAAAAUCCUGGUUAUAAUUUAGCCAGAAGUUUUAGAACAAAUCGCCGAUGCAAAAUGGAUAUAAUGUUGAAACAUAAUACGCACCAAACAUAACCUAACAUCUAAAAUAGGGGAAAUCAAUCAAAAUUAUUAAAAUGAAUUAUGCUACCAAAACUUGACAUUUAGCGGCGGGAAGAUUGAAGCUUUCAUUGCAGUUCCACAAUUAUUUUAAGCAUCAGUUUAUGGCUUAGAAGCAGCAGCGAGUUUUGAUCUCCUUUUCGCCAGGCUCUCACUGCGCCGUUCCCUCUGCUCCUUCAAGCGUGUUGCAAGAAGUUUCUGAUAUUCGGCUGCCUCUGACUUGGCCUUGGCAAUUCUCUGAUUCUUCUCAGAAAUCCUAGCUCAGAAAUCCUAGCUCGUUUUCUUUGAAGAGUUAGUGGAGUUACAAGUCUCUGUAUCUUUGGAGCUUUACUGCUCUUCUUCCCUGUUAUAUCCACACACAUGUUAUUAAAUUAAUUGUAUACAAAAAAAAUAUGGCAUUAAUGAUUUAAGUGACUUGACAUACGAAAUAAUUGAAGCAUAUGCAAGCAUUACUUUAAAAACAAGAUGACUGUUGUAUAUUCAAACAAUUGGAAGAAGUACUGUAAUCAAGUGGGGAUUACUCCAACAUUAUAAUCUUACUGCCACUUGAGGCAGCAAUGUAGAAUACCAUGGUCAUAUGCUGAACCACUUCAUAUAUAAUUAAAUUUCCCCUUUCGGUUUCUACUUUUAUCUUAAAUUACAUAACUAGAUAUAAGAUUUCCUUACCAGAUUUUGUAGUAAAUGUUCGGCGGUAUGUAUUGACAUACUUCCGGACAUCAUCAUCCUUGGAAAGGUUAAAGAGCUUCCGAAUCUUUGAUGCCCUCUUUGGACCUCUCAUUCUGGGUUUCUCUGUGUCAGUCAAUCCAGGCAGAUCAUUAUCACCCUUCUUCACUAUAACCAAGUUCAGAACAGAGAGGUCUUGGCUAACAAUGCACCCGUGAACAGACUUCCUCCUCCGCUCUCCAUUUCGUCUUCCAUAACCACGAAAGCAUGGAGUGCCUUUGAAAAAAAAGCACAUGAAAUUAAUAACACCAAUUUUGACCUUUUGAAGUCGAUUCAAUACAUUUUCAAAUUCAAAACUGAUGUGAUUCAAAUUUAAAUUUUGAAACAACGAUUCUUGUAAUUAGUAGUAUGUAUAGACAGUUCACAAUAUUCAUUAAUUUUUGAAACAUAACUUAUCAAAAAUACAAAAUUAGUCAUGCAUUUUGCAAUACGGGUAGAUCUAAGAAAACUUAACCAAAAUGCAAAUAAAUUAAAUCAUCUGAUUAAUAUAUUCAGGGACUGGAAUCCAUGCAUGUCAAUUAAUUUAUUCAAAUUCAAAGAUUUUCAAGAUGUACAACUACAACCAAGGUGGCAGUACAAGUUUCUGCAUUGUUAACUCCUGUAAUUACUAAGGAUAUAAGUUUAUAUUUGGAUGUUAGAACAUCUCCCAAUUAACCAACCUCUAUGAAGCAAGAGACGAACACGACCAGGGGUCAGAACUCCCUGUUUCAUGGGGAAACCUUGCUUGUCGCAACCACCCAUUAUUUUGAAAACAUAUCCUUUGAACUCCUGUCAAACAAAAUAACCAAACCAUACACAAAUUAAUUACUUAUUAAAUCUUCCAAGCAAGUGAUUGAUAAGUAUACAAAACUAAAGUACAAAUCAUACCUCGCCCAAGGAAUCCCCACUGACCUCCUGAAAAAUCUUCUUAUCAAAGAACGCACGGCUGAAAUUUAAGGCAUUAGUUAGAAUAAAUACUUUUUGGACAUUAUAUGCACAUAUAUGAAAGUUGGAACCAGUUAAAAGUUAUGAAAGAUAAUGAAUAAAAGAAGUGAUAUUUCCACAUGAGUCUCUCACUUGCUCACUAUUCAUAUGAGAGGGAUAAUGUGGAAAUAUUAAUUUUUUGUGGAAAUAUAAAAAACCAAAAAACCACUAUCAAUUAUACUCAGUUAUUAGACCAAAAAAACAGUCGUAAUUUCCAUACAACAGGUGACCACUAGCAAUAUUUUUUAAAUGUGUUCUACUGAAAUCAAUUCAGACAUAUCAUACCCAUAUUCCCUCUUAUAAUUCGGAAAAAGUGGUCGAAACAUAGAAAUGAUUCAGGUUCAUAGAAAAUGGAGACUGAAGAAGCAAUUGGGACCUCAGAAUUUUAGUAAUAUUGAAAUUCCACCAUUCAUAUAUGGAAUGAAAUGCAACAAGUGAACUAUACAGAAAUUAACAUUUCAUUAUUAUUCACCAAUCAAAUGUAAAAUAAACGAAAAUUACUACAAGAAAGGGGAUAAUAAGAUCAUACAGCUUCUGAUCAUCAUCGAUCUCAAGCUUCUUCUGGCACCCAGUAGUUUGGAUUUGCAAUGUUGAACUACAAAACACAAACAAACAAUGGGCGAGUAUAUAUAUACAUAUAUAUGAAAAGGAAGAACAAAAUUGAUCUAUUUAUGAAUAUAACCAAAGGAUGAAAACCUUCAUGUUAGAUCAGCUCCUUCCGUUCAACCGUGCCAACUGUGUUUUCUGAGGGAAAAAUGGGUUAGGGUUUCAAAUUAGUGAAAUUUAUACCAAGUUUUUCGGGUCGGGGUUUUUAGUUUCGUCCUUCCUUUUUUAAUAUGGGCGGUAACCGAAUAUAUCAACCCAAUGGUUUUAUAUUGGGCCUAACAUAGUGGGAGUUUCUUUGAAAUUUAUGUUUUAGUUUAUAUAUUGUGAAAAAAUUUGGCGGAAUUACGUCGCAUAUGAUUAUAAAAUUAAUCUAUUAUAUUAAAUAUCUUUAAAAAAUAUUAUCAAUUAUAAUUAUUUAUGCUACUCUCAUAAUAAACAAAGUCCAUGUAAAAUUGUAAUAUAUAUCAUUUUCCUUCAUGUUUUUCUUUUGUUUACAUGUUUUAGGUACUAUUAACCAAGAAAUCAAAAAAAAAAUCUAUUUGUGAUGUCAUUAAAUCUGAAUAUGGUGAUUGGUGAAGGGAGUAAUGUCAAUUAAGACAUACCAAUAACACAUUUAAAUGUAAUAUUUUUGCAUAUAAAAUAUACUUUAUAUAUUAUUUUUGGAAAAUAUUUUUCAUGUCCUUUCUUUUUCUUUAUUUAAUAUUAAUAGUUGAUACAUUUGGUUAAAGUAGUAGUGUGUGACUGUGUUUUAUUAAACCUUUAACAAAUUAAAGAUUGCACAUAUAUAGUAUGAAUGUUAAUAAUUUUUUAUCAAUCUUUAUUUAUUGUUAUUAACUACCCUUAACUCCCAAAGUAUGUUAUAAGGUACACCUGACAGUCUAUUAAAAGAUACUAGAUCCAAUUAAUUAAUUUAUUAAAUAAACAGGAGUUAUUUACUCUUAUAUUUAUUUCCAUAACUGCAUUUAUGUACAUAUUAGCCUAUUUGUAAUCUUAAGAGUUAAUAAAAAACAAUAUAAUAACAGACCAUCUCCAUCUUCUAUUUCAAUCCGACUCUUAUGGUGUGAUUGAAAUGCCUUUCAAAGGAUUUACAUUUUUCAAAAUUGGAUUCUUAUUGAGUUUUCACAUUUUGUUUCAUGUUGGGUAUGGAAUUGAGGCUAUAUCAUACAACUACUCUGUAAGCAUAGAGGUAUAAACUCCUCCAUCACAUGCUCUUGUCAGUGAAAUAGAUUGUAUUAUACUCCCUCCAUUCUUAAAUAAGUGACGUUUUGGAUGAAAAAAUGUAUUCCAAAUUAUCUGUCGUUUACAACUUUCUAGGAGAAUAUAAUAUUUAUUUUCCUAUUAUACCUUUGCCUUCUCUCAUUGUCCCAAGAAAUUCUCACUCUUACUAUUAAUAGUUUUCAACUUCCCAUAAAGGGAUAGUGAUGAAAUUUCACACAGAUUUUAAUUAUUAAAUGACUUUUUUAAUCCAUGUGCAAAAACCUUAAACAACACUUAUUUAGGAAUGGAGGGAGUAUAGUCUCGCGGAUUAAGGCAAAUUUAAAUUACAGGGGUGUAAAAAGAAUUGUAAAUUUUUAUACAUGCAUGGCACAAUGAAGAUAAUUUUCAUAGUUUUAAAUUGUACUAAACAAACCAUAUAUAAUUAGUUUGGAUGCCAUGCAUGCCAUAAUAUGACUUGUGUCGUAGCAUUUUGUUAGUCUUGUCCAUUUUUGUCACCUUUGUCUUUUUCAGUGCCUAGCCUAUCCUCUUGCUCUUCAAUAUGAAGGAGGAGGAUUAGUGAUCAAUCCUGCAUUUUCCGAUGGCUUAAAAGGAUGGUAUGGUUAUGGAAAUGCAUACAUUGAGUUGAGAAACAUCGGGGGAAAUUCAUUUGGCAUAGCCUUCAACAGAAGUGUGCCAUAUCAUAGUGUAUCACAACCGAUAUUGUUGACACAAGGGAUUUAUUAUGCAUUUUCAGGUAAAUUUUUUGGUUGGGAAUUUAAAUAGAUCAUUUUUAACUAUAAUUUGAUUUAUUUUGAUUUAUUUUUCUAAGCUUGAGUGCAAAUCGAUAAAGGAAGUGAGGUUGUGGUAGCUUACUUGAGGAAUUCGCAGAACCUAACAAUGACAAUAGGAUCUGUCAUUGCUAAGUCUGGUUGUUGGUCUAUGAUUAAAGGAGGGGUUAGUCCUGAUCAAACAAUGCAAGCUAACCUCUAUUUUGAGGUAUACGUACUGUUCUUUAUUAAUUACUCUCUUUCUCGUUUCAUAAGAUUGUCAUCACUUUUGUGUUUUAUUUAGUUUCUUUUAAGAAUUAAUCUAACAAACUUGACAGAGUAUGAAUACUACAAUUGAAGUAUGGAUUGAUAACGUUUCUCUACAACCAUUUACAAAAGAGGAAUGGAGAAACCAACAAUCUGAAAGCACAAACAAGGUAAUUUUUGAAACUCUCGACACAAAAAACAUUAGCAUUGAGAAAUUAAUGAAAACGUACGUCUCGCAGAUAAGAAAGAGGAAUUUGAGGCUCAUUGUGUCUGACAAGGAUGGAAAUAACCUCCGAGGAAUAAAAAUCAGCAUUGAGCAAACACGAACACAUUUCCCAAUCGGCUGUGCCAUCACAGAGCAUAUAUUAUAUAGGAAACCUUAUGAAGAAUGGUUCACUCCGCGCUUCACUGCAACAAGUUUCGGGAACGAGAUGAAAUGGUACUACACAGAACGAGUUCAAGGUCAAGAGAAUUACACCAUCCCAGAUGCAAUGGUUGCCUUUGCUAAGCAACGUCGAGUUUCGGUGAGGGGUCACAAUAUUCUUUGGGAUAACCCCCUUAACAACUUACGAUGGGCCAGAGCUUUAUCUCCUCCAGAUCUUCUGAAUGCAGCUAUGAAAAGAACUCAUUCUGUGAUUUCAAAAUAUAAAGAUGAAGUUAUUGGGUGGGAUGUUGUGAACGAGAACAUGCAUUUCUCAUUUUUCGAAGAUAAAACUGGCCCAAAUGCCUCCGCAAUGUUCUACAAUGUUGCACACGCAUUAGAUCCCAACAAAACCAUGUUCUUGAAUGAGUACAAUACGUUAGAGGAACCUUCAGACAAGAAAGUAACCCCGUCCAAGUAUCUGCAAAAAAUCCAGGAAAUUAGAUCUUUUCCGGGGAAUGAAGACAUGGUGGUAGGGAUUGGACUACAAGCUCAUUUUCGUAAGCCAGAUAUUCCUUAUAUGCGCGCCUGCUUAGAUAUCUUGGGUGCAAGCAAAAUGCCGGUGUGGAUUACAGAAUUGGAUGUCGAAAAAAUUCCAAAUCAAGUGAGUUUGAAUUCAUGAAAAAUUAAAUCUCAAUAUAUAGACUAGCUACUAACAAUCAACAAUAUUUAAUAUUAAUUUGGUUGGUUGGUUUGUGAUAGACUGUUUACCUCGAAGAAAUUAUGAGAGAAGCAUAUUCACAUCCUGCCGUUGAAUGAAUUAUUUUGUUUGGUGCGUGGAACCCGGAAGGCUGCUACCGUAUGUGUUUAACAGAUGAUGUGACGCCCCCAAAAUAGGUAUACAACACCCAUUCUGAGUCGCCAAAAUACAUGGUAUAGAAAACAAACUACAACUUUGACAAUACAGAUGUCGUGUAGAAUACGACAAUACAACUGUGAGUUUGAAUACAAAUAUUGUCUUCUAGACAAUAUACACACCCAAAUAAGUCCUCAUUAAUUAUUCAUACACUAUUUUACAGAAAUAGUGAGGACAGCUAAAACAUCUUCCUAGAACCAUCACUCCAUACCCCGACUCGAUCCUGCUAUGUUCUCACCUCCUGAGAAGAAAAAUGGAACAAAAAGGAAAAGGGUGAGCUCAACUAGCCCAGUAAAGAAUAUUAUGACUAAGAUAAUAUACAACAAAUUAUCGUUAGUCUUCAACAGGGAAAAAUCUAAUAGAAUACAAUAGACAACAAGUUUUAGAUCAACAAAUGCAGCGGAAACAGCAAUCCAUUAGAAGAGUCACGUAGAGAAAGAAUUCUACUGUCUUCUAAGGUUUAAAAGUCCAUCAUCAAUAGUUUAUCCCUGUAAUAACAAUCAAUAUACAUCUUUAAUCAUCUUUGCACUACAGGCCAAAGAUAUUCAUUUGUAUCACCAGUUGGUCAUGUUCAUCUCAACACCUGUUCAUCUUUGCACUACAGGCCAAAGAUAUUCAUCAGUUAAUCGUUCAUCUUUGCACUACAGGCCAAAGAUAUUCAUUUAUAUCACCAUUUAGGACUGAGGAUGAUGAAAAACAUUUUUAAAGAAACGAAUCCAGUGAAACAAAAUGACAAGGAUUAAGGAUUAAGGAUUCGUACUUUGUUUUACCCAUGUCCAAAAAUACUUCGAAAAUAAUCAUAUUGGUGUAAAAUUCAAGAAUGAUCAAAACAUGGAUACAAUCAAAGCUAGUAUCCAGAAUAGAUAUUUUGGACAAAAAGAAAAAUUUUUAUUUUUCGGUGAAUAGUGCCGUAUUCGUGAAUAGUGUCGUAUACGUGAAUAGUGCCGUAUACGUGAAUAGUAACCCCGACACAACAAGUUCCAAAUUUGAUAAAAAAGUUCACCAAUACUUCGGCAUAAUGAUAUUGAAGAAAAAAUAUCAUUUAAGAAGAAAAUAAUACCCCUUACCUCAAAAUAACCGUACUUCUGACUGAAUUUCGGUAUAGUGCUGACAGAAACCCGCACCGUAUAGCAACACUCAAAGUAUACUCACAAGAAUACGCUCGAUAAUUUAGAGAGAGAAAGAGAGAAAACUUAGUUUCUGGUGUGAUUUUCAAUUCUAACUUAGCCCUCUAUUUAUAGGAAAAUGUUAGAACGCCAAAGGAGACUAAAUUAAUAAAUUAUUAUUAUUUAAAAUUACAUUUCUACGCAUGCCAUUUGAACACUUCAGCCACCAGCCAACCUUGACCCAAUUUCCAGCAGCCCACAUGUUCAAACAAGAGUGGGUCCCACCCAUUAUUUAAUAAAAAUUAUUUUAUCUUCCGAAACUUCAAUAAUUCGUAGAAAAUAGCUCGUUUAUCAGAAAAAUUCGAAACUCGCGACUUUCCAUGGGAAAUUCCAUUCUCUACAACUUUGCAGAAGAAAAUUUUUCCAAAUUCCAAACAGAAAUUGACCGAAAUCCAUAAACGGGCGAUUUUACAGUCUAUAAUCAAUUUUCGGUCAAGAAUUGUGUCCACCGACACACAAAACAUAUGUUAAACAUUUAAUGCCACAAAAUACUCUACCUCCUCAUAUACUCAUAUAUCCCACAUUCAUUAUAAAAAUAUCACCGUUAAUAUAUUAUUAAAAUAAUAUAUUUAAAUGAAUUAUUUUAUCAGAAAAAGAUAAAAUAUUAAUUUUCAACAAUUGUCACAUUAAAAAUUUUCUCCAUCUAUAUCCACAUAAAAUAAAUAUUUUCUUUAUCAUAAUAAUCAAUAAUUAAUUAUUUAAAAAUAAUAUUACAGAAUCACAGUACUGACAACCAGGCCGUUCCCAGGAAAGAGGGGGCUUUCCAAUAAGGAUUUCUCCUUACUGGCGCGCAAUUAGGUGACCAAACCUCUCCUUAGACAGAACUUUCUAGACAUUGCCAAUAAUGUUAUCUGAUAAUAUUAUUCAAAUAAUAUGAAUUAUUGAUUUGAUAAUGGAAAAUACUGUGUAAUGACAAUUAUUGAAACAACAGCAAUACAAAAUAUCAACGCAGCAAUUAUUGAAUCAAUAAAAUAUAAUAUUGAACAGUAACUACUGUAACAAUUAUUGAGUAGUGCCUUCUUACGUAAGGAUCAAUAAUUCAAUAAUACUGUGCAAUACCGUGUGCUACUGUGCAACCACGCGUAUUACUGUAUUUUAACCACCAGGUAACCCAACAGUGUUAACGGUAACAAUUUACGCCGUUAUUUAUAAAACUCAAUCUUUGUCGUUUUCCUUCAUCCAACCGUUUUCCGUUAUGGGGCCCACCAAUGACUGCGCCGUCGUACGGAGAUUCCCGACAAAAAGAAUAUUCCACGACCAAACGAAUAUUCCCCGACAAUAAUGAAUAUUUUAUAACCACUUGCUUAUUUUAUAAACUUUGCACAUUUCACCCAUAACCAAAGAAUUAUAUCAAAUUAACCCUUAUUAAUUUAGAAUAAUGAAUAAAGAAAAAUUCAAUUUUAUUUAUAAUAAGUUGGGGUCUUACAGAUGACAAUUUUAACAACUUGGAAGUCGGGGAUGUAGUUGACAAACUACUUACAGAGUGGAAGACGGAGAAGUUAGAGGGACUGACGAACAACAACGAAGUCUACGAGAGCCAAGUUUAUCAUGGAGAAUACCUUGUAACAGUUAUGGAUCCACAUUAUGAAAAUAUUUUCUUAACAAAACAAGUGAAUGUGAGUUCUGAUCACGAUGAUCCACAAAAUGUUUUGAUUUCCAUAUAAUCUAUCUACAAAUUUAUUUAAGUUAGUUACCCUAAUUAAAGAUUAAUUAAUGGCGCCCCGACCAAUAUUAAUUCUUUUAUCCAUUGAGAAGUACAUGCAUGUACAAAAUGAUAUAUACAUUAUACUAGACAGACAACAUGCAUAUAGACAAAUCUUAUACCUUACCACCUUUUAUGGGAAUUGAUUGAGUUUGUAAACUUUGAGUUCUAUGUUUUGUAGUGGUGAUAAUUAAUCAAGUUUGAAACCUAGCUACUUAUGGAUAAACUUUGUAGUUUAUAAAGUUUUAAGAUCAAUAUUCUGACUUGUUUAUAGACAAAUCUAAUCUAGCUCUUGAAAUAUAGAACAUUCUUGAUCCUUCUUUUUACUAGGUUUCAAAUUUCAAAUUUAUAUUAUUUAUUUAAAUUUUGAAAGUAAAUAAUCUUAUAAUUAGUAGUUCAUUUAGGUAAUUUAUAAUAUUUAUAAUUGUAUUGAUAUAAAUUAAAUGAAUUUAUGUCAAUUUAAAAUUGACUUUAAAAAUUAAUAAAUUUUUUAUUAUAAUUUAGAAUUGAGUGAGUACUAAAGUUUACGUAAAUAUAUAGACAUAGUUUUGAAUAUAAAAUUUAAAAGUAAAAUUAAUAUUAUUAAAAAAAUUAAUUUUUUAAUAAUAUCAAACAUAAAAUUAAUGUUAAAAAGAGAAUAUAAAAAGAAAUAAGGGAGGGGUAACAUAAAUAUAAAUAUAUACUAAUACUUUUACACAAAAUUGAAAAAGAAAAAUACUCUUCUAUAUAAAUUAGUCGCGUAAAAUUUUAUAAAACAUUGGUGUUCAAUUUUCAAGUCCGCGUACGAUCGUUAGUCGCGUCUGUUUCUUGUGAACUCCCUGAAAACUAGUCGAUCAAUUCAGAUCUGAAAAAAACUGCCAUCAAUGGCGACACCAACACCACGCGAAGAGAAUGUGUACAUGGCCAAACUCGCCGAGCAAGCUGAACGUUAUGAGGAAAUGGAAGAAUUCAUGGAGAAGGUCUCCGCCUCCGUCACCGAAUCCGACGAGCUCUCCGUGGAGGAGCGCAACCUCCUCUCCGUCGCCUCAAGAACGUGAUCGGCGCUCGCCGCGCCUCCUGGAGGAUCAUUUCGUCGAUCGAGCAGAAGGAGGAGUCUCGCGGCACACGUGGCGAUUAUCAAAGAGUACAGAAGGAAGAUUGAAUCGGAGCUUUCGUCCAUAUGCGACGGGAUUCUGAAGCUUUUGGGUACCAAAUUGGUUCCGGCUGCUUCCGCCGGGGACUCGAAGGUCUUUUAUUUGAAGAUGAAAGGAGAUUAUCAUAGGUACUUAGCGGAGUUUAAGACUGCUGCUGAUAGGAAGGAGGCUGCUGAAAAUACUCUUACUGCCUAUAAGGCAGCUCAGGUAAAAUUUUACUGCUUAGAACUUUGUUACAAAAUAUUAAUUUGCCUAAUGCUACGCGUGUUUUUGUAAAGAUGCAUUCUUUUUAUUGGAUUGUUAGAUUGACUUAUGUUUGCUGGUUACAAUCUUUGAUGUUUUGUGUUAAUUUUGGUUCGUGUUUUUCUUUGUUUUAGAUUUUUUUUCUCCUGUGGAUUGGUGCGGAUUUGUUUAAUUAAGUCUGAAUUUUGGUGAAUUAAUAAUCAAAACUUUAGUUUGUGGUUCAGUGAGCCCACUUGUUUUUAUCAGUUUUCGUGCAAUUUUAUGCUAGUAAUGUAUGUUAAUGAUAAUUGAUAAGGGCAAGUGUUAAACUUUGAAUCCUUAGUUCUAUUUGUUUGUUUAGAUGUUGGGCUUUUGAACCUUGAUUCAAUCUUGGCCAGUAUUUUGGUUAGGCUUCAUGUAUCUGCAUGUGAUUAAGCUUAUUAUAUAUACAAGUUUAUCGUAUUAUUCUGUGCCUCUAAUUAAAUGUGAAGAGUUAAUUUAUGGCUUAAGGUUUCAAGUUUUAUGUUGGAUUUGGUAUCAUGUAUUUUUAGUGUUGAUUCAUCUUUCGAUCAUACAAAUACUUAUUUUAUAAAAUUGUAUAUUUCAAAAUGAAUAUGCAACUGUUUUAAGAAAGUUUUUUAUGUUCCCAUUUAUGGAUAGUUCACGACAAUUGUUUACCUAUUUUUAAUUUGCGACCAACUUGCAUACACGGAAUAGGUAGGAAUGAGAAGAGAGGCCCACAACAUAAUUAUCUUGUUAACAAUGUUUAUAAUGUUUACCAAUAAUAAAAAGACACGUGAGUGGAUAUGCAAGUCAACGAAUUUUCAGUCGACUAGACAUAUAUAUCAUUUUCCUUACAAAUAUAACGAUAUGAAUAUGUAGCUUUAAGAGUUAAAUUAGGAAUAAUGUGUACACCUUUUUAAAUUAGUAUUGCUUUUUAACUUAAAAUUAUGGAUUGUUAAUUUAUAAUUUUGUUCUGCUAAUAUGUGGUUGUAGGAUAUAGCAAAUGCAGAAUUACCUUCUACACAUCCAAUCCGACUUGGACUGGCUCUCAACUUCUCUGUGUUCUACUAUGAGAUUCUGAAUUCUCCUGAUCGAGCAUGUAACCUUGCAAAACAGGUGGAUACUACAUACUCCUUUGUUUCCCAAAAAGAGUCGCUUGCAAAAUUUACAAACAUUAGGAUAUAUUUUUGUUCCAUGUUUACCCGUAAUAGGUUGUUACUUGUUAGUUUAGUAGUGAUGACAUGGUAAUGAGUUUAUGAUCUCAAACCUGAGAACACUAUGUAAUAAACAGAUUACUCAUUUUGUGGAAUAAAUUCUCCCCUCCCCCCAAAUGGAUCUAGCCUUUAUAAUUUAGAUUUCUUUUGAAUCUUACUUCAAAUGACUCAACUUUUUGGAGAUUGUUUUUGUAUCGUCUCUUCAUUGUGCUUGCGCAUGUACGUGUGUGCGCGCGCACGCGUGUACAUUGCUUACUGCACUUGUCAAGUCCUGGUAUGUAUGUAUAACAUCAUAUCCUUGGGUUUAGAGAGCCAAAUAUUUUUUAUGCCUUUGUUAAGUCUUUGUACUUAAUUGUUGAUAUGGUGACAUCUUCAGCAGUCAACAAGUUCAUAAUAAGAUAACAUGUAAAUGAGGACUUGUGAUGUAAUCUCAUCCUUGAGCUUCAUCUAUUGCUGAGAGUUUUCUAUUGGUCUUAUCGGUUUAUGCCAGGCUUUUGAUGAAGCCAUUGCAGAGCUAGAUACACUCGGAGAGGAUUCAUACAAGGAUAGCACUCUGAUAAUGCAACUUCUUCGGGACAAUUUGACUUUGUGGACGUCAGAUAUGCAGGUUUCACUUCAACUUUCUUUUAUGAUUAGAUUUACAGAACUUAAGGCUUUCUUCAAUGGUGUAUAAUCCACUGAUAUUGCUGGCUUAUAGGACGAUGCGGGGGAUGAAAUCAAAGAAGCACCCAAGAAGGAGGAUGAACAGCAGUGAAGUUGAUUAUUUUUAUGAUAGUAUCAUGCUUCUUCUUUUGCUGUUUUUGAUUGAAGAAAUUGCAUGGUUCGGAUUCCUUUUUCAAGUUUAUUAUGGGAUUUCCUGAUUUAUAAACCUUGAAUGUAACCACUCUCUUGGUUUCCCAAUUUUAUUUUCAUAAGAUUUUACAGUUUCACUUAUAAAUAAUCUUACUGUAUUUAUUUGUGGGUCGUAUGUAUGUAAAGCCUAAUAAAGGCAUGGUGGUGAAGAAUUGAGCAUAAUGAGAUUGGUCUGGUAGGAAUGACGAGGGUACAUAUCGCUCAUUUCUUGUUUUGGGAAAUAGAAAAGAUAGAAUUGAAGUUAUGGAGAAAAUUAAAUGGUCUGUCGAGUAAAAAUCUUUUCUUUCCUAGUUAGUCGCAUAAUUAACUUUCUUUUCCUUUUUCCUAAUGUCAAUUAGUUUUCAUUCCUCCAAAAAUAAAAAUAAAAGUAAAUUCUUCAAGUGAGCUUUCUUUAAUUAAAGCUAAUAGUUUUCCCCUUUGUAGUAUGUAAAUUUCAGGUUAAAAUUUCUUUAAUUAAACAUGUCUUCUUCAUUCUGGAUCUUUCCUUUUACCUACAAUCUAAUCUACCCAUGUAUAACAAGCUGACAUUAAUAUUCAUAGACCACCAUGCUUCCUUACCCAAACUUAUCGGAUAGUUCACCGAUUGUCUGUUCCGAUUAAUAGUUUUUGUUAUAUACUAUACGUACGAUUAUAAUGAUUGUAUCAAUUAAAAUUAAAUAAAUUCGUCUUUUGAUUUAAAAGUCAAAUUGUAUUUCUAAUUUUAAAAUUAGGAAGUAUGAAAGUAAUUUUUUGAAGAUGUUAAAAAUACAUAAUUAUAUUAUCAAUGAAUGGAUUCUUUACUAUGUAUUAUAUUUUAUGAGUAAAAGCUAAAAUACUAUUUUUAUAAAUCAUUUUAUUAAUUUCACCAAGUUUAACUAAAAAUACUUUCUUAUAAAAACAACACUCCUUUUUAUUUAUUUAUAAAUUAUAAAAGUUAAAUAUUUAAAUUUCAGAAACUAAAAAUGACUCAUUGACUGAUGUUGUUUGAGAUCUCUGUCUGAUUGAUUUCGCGCCCAAACCAAAACCCAUUUUUAAUCCUCUUGUCUCAUGAAUUCCUCUCGAUCUAUCAGCGGCUAUGGAUGAGAUGGAUGAGAAGGUUUUAGGGCAAGACUUGGCAAAGUUCCUAAAGGAAUACCACUCCGAUCAGAUUUCCUCUAUCCUUCUAUCUCCGGAUUCUCGUCUUCAUUAUCCUCUCCAUGUCGAGUAAGUACGCCUAAACUUUGUACAAUCCAUUUCUCUCUCUCUCUCUCUCUCUCUAUAUAUAUAUAUAUAUAUAUAUAUAUAUAUAUAUAUAUUAGCGAUUUAGUAUAUUUUGGCACAAACUUAAGAGUAAAUUUUUAUUCCAUUUAUGUAUGCAACUAUAUAAAUUUGUGUAUUUUCAGUUUUGCAGAGUUACUGGAUUUCAAGCCAGACGUUGCUCACCUCCUUUUCAAUCAACCUACUAAGAUCUUAACGAAGUUUGAUGAAGCAGCUAUGCGGGUUCAGGUAUUGCAUUUUUUUGAAGUAUAUAUCAUGGUAGCAUUUUAGUUGUUCACUGGAUGAUGUAAUGGGUCUUUUAUGUAUCUAUGUUGUUUAUGUAAUCAACCAUAACCAUGCUUUUAACAAGUCAAAAGAGUUGUCUAAUAAAUGGUAUUAUCAGAAAGGAAAAUUAGAAAUCGUGAUGGUUUUGUUUUGAGGGAUUAGCGAAAUGCUGCCUUUGUAAUAUCUUUGUAAACUCUUCUUGGAGUAAGUUGAUGUCUCAUGUUAUGGGGCAUACAGAGGAUCAUUUUGCCUGAGGAAUUGAAAUUCAAGGGCCAGGAAAAUGCAAGCUUGAAGGAAUAUGUGCAUGUUCGGAUUAAUAUUAGUGGUUCUCCUCUUGAAUUCCCUGGUUGGAUUUUCUCUUUCUUUCUUUUCAUGCUUCUGAUUCUAUUAAGCUUGGAAAUAUACUUUUUGUUUUUGUUUAGCUGAUGUGUCUUCUGUCUGUUCAGAAACAUUUCCUAGCAUUGGUCGUGUGAGAGUGAAACAUCGUGGGAUUCUUCUCACUGUCAAGGGAACUGUUAUCAGGUCUGGAGCAAUAAAGAUGAUGGAAGGGGAGAGAGUGUACGAGUGUCGAAGAUGUAAACACAGGUGGAUAUUGUGCUCUUAUGUCUAAAUGUACUUAUAUAAAUUAUUGUCCAGGGCUUUGUAUGAUUCUUGUGUUUAUGUGUUGAAUCAUGAAAAAAGACUAUUUAAAGCAAAACUGUUCAUAUAUUGUUCUUCAGUAACGAAAUUACUCAUUUGGGAUGUCGUAGCACUUCAAAAUUUGUCUGAAAAUGUAACUAAUCAAAAAAAUAGUAACAAGUGCUUGUAGGAUGGAUCUCUGAGGACUAUUUAAGUAAUCUUAACUAACCUCUAUGUUACGGAUCAAGAUCCUAGCCUAGUUAAAAUGGGUAUCGGGUAAGAAUGGAGGGUUAGGAUUUAGUGUUAAGAAUGAAUGGUUUAGAUGCAUUCUCAUGUUAUAUUGUAUUUUCUUUAUUUUAAAUAGCUGAAUGUGAGUCAUUAGAAGGUAUCAAUGAAAUGAAUUUAAAACUUCUUCUCUAGUUCUCUCUCUUUCUCCCUGCGAUUUCUAUCGAAGUCUACCCGAUAAUAUAAUUCGAAAGGUACACAAUCUAGAGAAGUUUUCAAUUGCGGAGAUACGAAACGAGAAAUCACUGAGUCAUAACAAUACUGGAGAUUCAAGAAUUGGAGUGGGAGCACAAGGAAUUUGUUUUGAAUUACUUUGUGUAUCAUCAGCAAUCCACCACAAUUGCUGAAUAUGAGAGGUCAUUUUUGGAACUUAAGCGAUGGGCAGAGACUUGGAGUGAAGAGAAUUUUGAUGAACAGUGGGUUGUCGACCGAUUUGUUGUCGGGUUGAAGGAAGAAAUCAGAUCCAAUGUGGAAAGGAGUUAUCCAAGAUCAUUAAAUCUAGAAACCAAUUCUGCAAAGUGGCAAGAGAUGUACCCUGCACAUAAGAUGUUUGACAAAAUUGUUGAACCAGAAUUGGGUCAUAAACGUCAACCAACUGACAAAGGGAUCGAUGAUAAUCAACAAACUGGUGACCUUAUUGUGUUACAAAUCCAGACUCCGCUUAGGUCUUCCGCAUAUGAGGCUCUAGGAACAGAGCUCUUUGGGCUCGUUCAAAACACACAAGAGACUGAUUUUGUGAUUAAAAAUGUGCACGGCUUCAAUUGUAAUUUUGUACCAAUCAACCAGAAUUUGCUUAUAGAUGGUGUUGCUUUUGCUGGAGAGCUUAAUGGUGGUGAUCAACUGUAUAAAUUUGUAGAGCAAGAUGACUACAAUAUUGAACUCAAAAGUCAAACCAAUGGAAAUCUGUCUAGGGAAGUGAUCCAAGAAACUAGAGCUAAAUUUGAAAAUGAAAAGGAAGCCCCAAACACUGAGACAACGGAACGAGAGCCAAACAUGAAGCUUAAUUUCAUUUUCUCUCUUCCACUAAUUUCCUUUGACCAUGUCUAUAUCUUUGCUUCUACUAUCUCCUCUGCAUUUGGUUGUUUUGGAUAUUGGUUAAUGGUCUUUGAUGAAAUAACCAAAAGAAAUGAGUACUCUUGGAAAUUUGAAUUGAAGGAAGAUGGUUUGUACUGAGGUGAAAGAGGAAAAACUGAGAUCACUGAAUUUCUUUUUAGCCAUUUUUAGAAAUUAUUUUUGCUGAAUUAUGAUGGUUAUCACUCAAAAAUUAUUAGCCAAGCUAAAAAAACACAACUGCAAACACAAGCUGAAUGUGAAAAUCUUGUUGUUAUGAGCAAUAUUAAGGAAAGGUUAAGGCAUAACUACCAGCUUGAUCAAUAUGCUCCUAUAUAUGUGCCUAAAGCUUCAAUUAUUGAUAAUAACAAAGUGAAACUAGAUGGUGAUUGUGAAAUAGGGAAGCUUGAAAAGACUAAAUUUCGAAGCCAUUUCAUGAAAUCAUAUCUGCCGAAUAAUGGCAGUUGUUCAGCUUUGUUGUAUUCACAAAAAAAGAAGAAAAUAUUACUGAAAUUGGGUAGCACUAAUGGAGCUUUCCAGGUAACCUAUGCAUGGGUAUUACGAAUUUCAAUGAAUACAUAUGGGCUGAUUUUGUUCUCAUCUAUACAUGCUCCUUUUCAUCCAACUUUUAGUUUCAAAUAUGUUAUCUUGAAGCUGGUCUCAAAGUGUAGUUCCACAGAAGGAAAAUCUUGGGAUGCAUUGAAGCAUACAUUGGGCUGCAUUUGUGUUCAAGCAUUUGGGUCCUUGCCACAAAUCGAAGCCAUGAUUGUUGGGAAGGACACACAUGUCAUAAAGUUGGUGCAGCGACAGAGAUCAAUAAUUUAUUGGUGACAAUACUUUACUCGGAUCCAUGGUGCAUGCUUUGUCUUUUCACCAUGGACAUCAUUUCAUUCUGUAAGAGGUAUUAUACAAACAAAGAGGUUCAAGUCAUUAAAGGAACAAUAGUUGUUGGAGUUUCCAGUGGUGUUAAUAAUGGAUAGAUCACAUAGAUCACAGACGUAUACUUUCGGGAUGACAGUGUUCCGAUAGUCGUCAUGAUGGUUGUUAGUAUUGAAAGUAGGCAACUUAUGGAACUAUUCAAGGUACAUGUUAGAGAACAACAACAUGGAAUGUUGCAGCUGGUUGCUAUUAGCAAGCAGGUUAAUAAUCACAUCUCAUUUUAUGCCUUCUCUGGUGGUAUUAUUAGUCUCCAAUUUCUAUCUUCAAACUAUGCUCUGUUUUGUGUAUUGUGCAAUUUUUCAUGGGAAUCUUAAAUGGGUGCAUUAACAGCCCCAUUAGAGUGGACAUAUGGGAAAAUAGUAGCCCUCUCCGUAUUUUGGUUGGGACUACUAAUUUCUUAGACCCAAAAAUUUUGGACGCCUUAAAAAGUGAAAUAAAUUGGCCUAUGUUAUUUUUGAGGAUAAGCAUGAAGGGCAUACAAGUGUUUGUGUGAUUGGCAAGUGUGGAGCUGUGGGUGAUUCUAAAAAGGAUAGGCUUAAGAGAAAUGCAGAGGCAUGGAAUUCGAUGAUUUUAAGUUAUGUUCACAAAGGUAACGGAGGAGGCUGGGAGAUUAUAAUAACACAUGUAUUUUGGUCUAGACAUGAGCCAUCUCUUGGCUUUGGGGAACAUUGUUUUGAAAGGAGGUAUUAUCUAGUUUGGUUCAUCGCAUUGGUACAACAAACUAGCCUUUAUGUUCAUCUUCUGAUUGACUCCUAUGUUUGUGCUAAGUGGACCUUUAGGGGAAUUGCUGGUUUGCUGAUGAAAUAUGUAACCAACAUAGUUUUUAGAAGAGACAAUCAGCUUUCGGAGUUGGUCAUUCUAGGAGAACACUUCCUCCUUGAGGACAAGGUGAAUUUUGAAUGGCGGAGUAUUUUUACUGAUCAAGAUGCUAGCCUAGUUAAAAUGGGUAUUAGGUAAGAAUGGAGGGUUAGGAUUUAGUGUUAAGAAUGAAUGGCUUAUAUGCAUUCUCAUGCUAUCUUGUAUUUCCUUUAUUUUAAAUAGUUGAAUGUGAGUCAUUAGGAGGUAUCAAUGAAAUGAAUUAAAAACAUCUUCUCUAGUCUAUCUUUCUUUCUCUCUCCCUGCAAUUUCUAUCAAAGUCUACCCGAUACUAUAAAUUGGUAACACUAUACUUGAAUAUCAUAGGCAAAAGAAUACUAUAUAAGAAUCUUACAGGAGUAGGUGCGGCAUUAACUUACUCCAGAACAAGCUGUUAGACAUUUUUGUGUUUUAACAUUCGAGAGUUUAAAUUGACCUAUUGACAGUAACAAACUCAUGAUGGGUUAAUCUGUAUGCAUUUUCUGUUAUUUUUGUUCAGAUAUUAAGUACUCAUUUUUCCCAAGUUAGUGUUGCACAACAGGCCGGCCUGGUCCGGUCUGGCCUGGGUCUGCCAGGCUUUGGUCGUUGACCAGGCCAGGCCAGGCCAUGCCUUGACUUUUGGGCCUUCAGGCCAGGCCAGGCCGGAUUUAUCCAACAAAAUUGUGGCCGAAGAGGUCUGUAGGCCAGACUAGGCCAGGCCUUGGGCCAGGCCAAGGCUGGUUUGGUUUGGCCCGGAACAUUUUUUUUAAUUGUGCAUGUGGCUGGGUGAGGCCUGGGGCAAUGAGGUUUGGCUGUCUGGCGAGUGGCGACUUAAUAGUUAAUGUUAUAGACUUAUAGUCCAUAGAAGAAAUUUAGAAUAAUAGCAUACUAGAGGAAUGUUAUUAUUUUAUUUUAUUUUGCCUUAUUGUCCAAUCUAUCAAAUCAUCAUCCCUUCAAGAUUUCAAUUUCCAAAGAUUCAAUACUUCAAUCCACCAUCAUGGCAUAAAUAAAUUAGAAUAUUAAAUGUAAUAGAUUUAUAGACUUGGUAGUUGGUACACUCUACAGAUUCAUUGGAAAAUAAUAAUACUCUUGAUUCCAUCCGAAAAAUGAAAUGUGCCACUGAUGUGCAGUUGUGCACCAACAUGUCCACCUCUUCAUCAAAAAAGAAACAACUCACAAUUAUUAGUGUAUUUAAUAUUCUACCUAUUAGUGUAUUUAAUUAAUUAUUUAUGUAAUUAUGUCUAUAAAUAUUAAAUAUUAAUAAACCUUUAAUCAACUAACUUAUUAAUAUUAAAUAUUAAUAAACUAACUACUAUAUUAAUAUUAAAAUUUAAUCAACUAACUUAUUAAGUUAUUAAUACUCCCUCCGUCCCAGGAUAAAAGUCCUGGUGGACUUUUCACGCAUAUUAAGAAGAGGAAUAAAAUGACAAAAUUGUCCAUAAUAAUGUCAUUAAAUAUGGAGAGAGAAUUAGAAUAAGAAAAGUAUGAGAUACUCCCUCCGUCCCAAAUUAAUUGCUCAGUUUUGACUUUUUUAAGUCAAAUUGACUAUUUUUAGAAUUAAUAAUUAAGCAUAUAUAAAUAUAUUUCUAAAAUUAUAAAAAUUGGGAUUAGUAAUAAAUUGUAUAUACUUUCUUUUGGUUAUAAUAUCUUCACCUAUAUUUUAGCAAAAAUAGUAAAAAGAUUAGUUUUAAAAAUGGUCAAUUUGACUUUAAAAAGUCAAAACUGAGCAAUUAAUUUGGGACGGAGGGAGUAUUUAAUGUUACGGGCAUAAUAGGAAAAAAUGUGUAAAAGUUUGGUUAUUAAAAGAAAGUGGACAUUUAACAUGGGACAACCUAAAAUAGUAAUAAAGACUUUUAUCCUGGGACGGAGGGAGUAUUAAAUAAACUAACUAAUAUAUUAAUUAAAUAUACUUACAAGAAAUCAAGAAUGAAUAAUUAAACUUUAAACUUGAUUCAUGUAUUAAUUAAAAGUAAUAUAUUACAAUUUACAACUUAGAAGUUACUACUUACAUAUUACAAUAAUGAAUAACAAAAUAAGUAAUAACAAAAUAAGUAGUAAUAUAUGGACUGAUGGACUGCAGUAUAUUAGGCCUGCAAAGGCUAGCAUUCUACUAUUCUAGCAAGUAGCCACUAGGUUGUUAGCAGUCAGCCUAUGAGCCUACCAAUUGCCAUCUUGUCAUUGUUGUAGGCUUGUAGCCGUUGGAGUUUGCCAGGUCCAGCCGUCCAGCAAGCAGAUGCCAGUUUAAGGACUUGGGCCUUGGGGCUUGUCGGCCUGGGCGCCUAUAGUAAAAGAGUCAGGCCAGGCUUUAGGCCGAUUCAGGGCGAAGGCUAGGCCAGUUUGGGCUUUUUAGAAGGCUAGGCCAGGCCAAAUAUUUGUCAAAAAAUCCUGGUCUGUUUACAGCCUAGCAGGCCGGGCCUGUCCGGGCUUUGACCAGGCCUGACUCAGGCCAGACCAAGGCCAGGUCGCAGGCCAUUUGUGCACCACUAUCCCAAGUUAAGUGUCAUGUUUCAAAAUGAUGUAAGUGACACGGAUUUUCUAAAGUGCCAACAUCACAUUUAGGUAGAAUAUUUAGUACACCUCUUUUCAAAUUUGCAUGUUAGUUGCUUAAAAAUGAUUCAUAAAAAACCGCAUUACUCGAGUGAUCUCUAAAUGUGUUGUCUGAAUGUCUUAAAAUUUGUGGUGAAAUCGUGAUUUUCUAAAUUUGUUUUCUGGUGGUAUUAUUGAUGCUUAUAUUUCGAGAGUACAUUGAUUAUUGCUUGUACUGUAACUUACUGGAAGAUGUAAAAUGUAAUGUAUUUGAAUUUUGAUGAUUAAACACAAAGUAAGAUUCUUAGCUCCUCACCUUCAUAUUGCGCUAUGUUUACGAGUAGGUUCAAAGUUUCUCCUGAGCUGGAAACCAGAAAUUCAAUACCCAAGCCAACAUCUUGUCCCUCCCAGGUUUACUUCUAUACUCUAUCCAAAAUUUAUACACGGCAUUGUUUGCAAAGUUGAAGGUUAAAUAGACAAUGUAGAAGAGCAAUUAUGAAAUAAAUUUUCAGUAUUUGUGCGACCUUGUUUAAUAUUCAUAGAUUCCGUAGCUUAAUCUUUCAAAAUUACACUUUAAUCCCCUGUCACCUUAUAAUCUGAAUAUGAGACUUGGAGGCCAGA